AAACAUAUAAUUUACCUCUUUAAAAUUUUAAAUUAAUGCAUUCAGUUCCACUCCGUUAGGGUUCUGUCACAACUCCGUCUAUUUUUCUAUAAUUUACAUCAAAAAUAUUAUUAAAAGUGACAUAAAUAUAAUAAAAAAUAUUUUUAUAAAACAAAUAAGGGUAAUUUUGUCGCUUCGUCCUUUCCAUCAACGCGAUAUUUUUAAAAAAAUAUUUUUAAAAUGUUAAGAGUAUAAAAUAUAGUUUUCAAAAGUAAAAAAAUAAAAGUACAAAAAAGGAGUAUUUACAGAGUAUUUUUUCUGUAUUUUUAACCUUUCUUUUUAGAGUAAACUUUAAAAGCCACUCCUGUAGUUUUGCACUUUCUCACUUUAGUACCAUGUGGUUUAAAGUGUAUCAAGUUAUUGUUCUGUGAUUUUAUUUUUUUCUUUUCAUCAGCUUAUCUGUUAAUAUUUCGUUAAAUUAUAUACAAAAAAUUUCAAAUACCCCAUAUAGGUUUAUCAAAUAUUCACUUUAGUACCAUUUAGUUUUAACUUUAUCACUGAUUUAAUAAAAAAAUUAGUAAAAUAGAUAAUAAAAAAAUAAAAAUAAAACCACAGAACAAUAAAUUAAUAUACUUUAAAUUAUAUGGUACUAAAGUGAAAAAGUGUGAAACUAUAGGGGUGAAAUGUGAAGUUUUCCCUUCUUUGUAUUAUCAUGCUAUGUUUAGUGGUGUACGAGAUAUAAUUGUACACCCGGUGCAGGCGAUAGUUUCUGAGCGAUGCGGUGCACGUGCACGAAGACCCAACACGUGGAUGUGACCGUUGGCGUGAGGCGCGGGGUGAUGUGCUCCGAUUCACGUGAGAAAUACAAAAGCUGAUGAUGAUGAUGAUGAUCCGUCGCUUUUCGCCCGUUGCUGGAAAAUUUGAAUUUGAAUCCGUGAUUCCCCUUUUUUUUUAAUUUAAAAAUAAAUAAAUAAUUAAUUAUUGAGCUUGGAUUGUUUGUUUAGAAUUAUAAUGUGCCUGAAUGGCAGAAAAUCAAUAUAUAUAUAUUUUUUUACUUUUCAUGUCAUAUAAAAAUCUACACUUUAUCUCUUUAAAAAAUAAAAAUCUUCAUUUCGAUCUUCGCAGUCAGUGUUCCAUUUAUAGCGUAUUUCUUAUACCGAAAAUACUCAUAAAACCCUUAUUUUUCUCCUUAAGACCUCAUCGAUAUUUUCAGCUGCGCCGCCUCGCCCUUGCGCACUCCUCUGUCCGUGCCUAGACACACGCCCUCCCCCUCCUCCAUCGCCUCACCCCCAAUCGCCCUUGCCCACCUCUCCGCCUAUACCCACUACAAUCCCCUCCCUACAGUCGCCGAAAUAGAGGGGCGGCAAGGGUGCUGGAGAAGUAGGGAAGCAGGUGGAGAAAACAGAGUCGGAGCUGGGGUCGAGAGAGGUGCGGGCAAGGGUGCGGGAUGAGCAAGACUCGGGAGAAGACGAAGAAAAUGCGGAUAAUUUGAUCAUUUUAUCAACCGUACCCUCUGUGAAUAUUUUUUAUUUUUUAAGAGGUAAAGUGUAAGUUUGAAAAAUAAAGAGAAAAAGUGAAAAAACGUGUAUUGAUAGAGAGGUUUUCUACAAUUUAGCCUUCAAAUUUAUGAAUUUUAGAAAUUUGAUAUCAUCUUACACUCUAUUAAAAAUUAAAAGAUCGAUCUACGUAUAAUUGUGCGUCAAGUGUUUGGACAAUCACGCGAUCAAUUUUGUUGCCUAUAACUUUCCCGAAGUUUUGAUUUCAACCUUCGAGCUGUACAAAAUUUGUUGAAUAAUGCGAAACUAUUGUUUAUUAAAUUUGAAUGAGUGAUCUUCGUAUAGUUGUCAGCGGGAGUUCAGGUGAUCUCGCGAUUUCGAUGCCGAAACUCACGCCGACGCCUACAACUUUCUCAAAGUUUUGAUUUCAACUUUCGAGAUCUAAAAAAAUUAUUAAAUAAUGCAAAACAACUGUUUAUUCCGAAAAGCUUGAGCCGGUAGAGAAUAAUAUUUUCAUAUUUUUAUAUUUAACACUCUCCUUCACGUCUGGACACGUUGAAACUUUCUGCUCUGAUACCAUAUUAAAUAAUACGAAACAACCGUUUAUCUUUAAAAGUUUAAGUUCGUAGAGAAUAGUGUUUUAUUAUAGUUUUUAUAUUUAACAAAAAUAAACAUGUCCUAACCUGACAUACUAUUAGAAGAGAACUAAAGAGCUUACUUCUGUGUUAUCUUUAAUGAUAGAAUGUGAAAAUCGACGAUCGACAUCACUAAACAUGAUUUGAAAAUUUUAGACUUUUUAAUUUCAUAGUUAUUUGACAUUAUUUGUCCGCCACUAGGUCGACUCAAAAAUUGACUUUAAUAGCUAAUUCGUAAAAUUAGAUUGCUAUGAAGUGCAAACAGCUUAUGUCGUAUUUAACAUUGUCAGUCGAUGAUUCAAAUACCCUAUUAUUUUAAAUAUUGUGGAAGUAACUCUCUUGCUUGCUUCUAGUAGAUAUAUUUUUACGAAAUUCAAGUCACCGUUGCUCGUAGUGUCCGUUAUAAAAAAAUAUAAUUAAUCAUAAAUAAAAUAUUCAAUCUUAAUUACGUGUAAAGUAAAUUGACACUUUUAUCUCUUUUAUAUUAUUAUCUAAUUAACUACUUGAUUCAACUAUUCGAUAAAGUUAAGAGGAUCUUGUAAUCAAAAUUAAAACCUAUAUAAGGGGUAAUGAACAAAAAAUUUUGGGGGUGUUGAUGCAUUUAUCCCAAUGAGGCAGAGGGUGCUAAUUUCAGAAUUAUAUAUAGUUGAGGGGUCUCCCUACAUUUUUACCCGACUCUUUCCCGCUCCUAUAAAACUGUACCCGCGCUCGUUCUCGACACUUCUCCUGAGAGGGGAAAAAAAAAAAAAAAAAAAAAAAAAAAUAAGGGUUCGCACGACCGAGAUCGAAAUAAAGGUCGAAUUCGCAUCUCUCUCUCUAUUUUUAUGAAUUUUUUAAUUAAAUCCAUCGAUUAAUCUCANCAAAAAAUUUUGGGGGUGUUGAUGCAUUUAUCCCAAUGAGGCAGAGGGUGCUAAUUUCAGAAUUAUAUAUAGUUGAGGGGUCUCCCUACAUUUUUACCGGAUGUUAUCAUCCACAUGCGCUAUUUUAGUGGUCGAGGUUCGAAUCUCUGCUUCUGCACUAUAAAAAAAAAAAAAAGAAAAAAAAAAAAAGAAGGGUUCGCACGACCGAGAUCGAAAUAAAGGUCGAAUUCGCAUCUCUCUCUCUAUUUUUAUGAAUUUUUUAAUUAAAUCCAUCGAUUAAUCUCAUUUUCCCGCAUAGAUUGAUCCCCUUUUGUGCUUGUAAAUGCGAAUUUUUUCCCUACUUUUUUUUUGGUUUUACUGCUGUUGCUCUAGGGUUUUUUCAAGUAUAAUUUUCGUUAUUUUAUGAUUUAAGAUGAUCGUAUUUUCCCCUUUUUAGGUUAAAAUUUGCUUUUAUUUAGUGUUCUUAGAUCUUAUUAUGAGUUUAAAUUGCUAUGUUGUUGGAUCGAUGUGCUCAGGGGUAUGUUGACAUAGUAAUUAGGGGUCGUUUCGUUAGAUGUAAUUACAAAUACAGUAUAGUUGGAGAUGUAUGCAGUUGGAAAUGCAGCAAUUGCAAUUACGUGCAUUCUAUUUGGUUGAAUGUAGUAGAAAGAGUUGCAACUAUAAAUAAUUUGUUUGGUUGCAUGCGGUUGAGAAAUGAAUUUAAAAAGUUUAUCAUUAUAUAAAUAUGUGAUUGUGAGAUUACCACCAAUGUAAAAAAGAAAAAUAUUUUAUUACUAUUUUAAUUUAUUACUCUUUUAAAAUCAAUGUAGUAGAAAGCGUUGCAAAAUAUUUUAUUACUCUUUUAAAAUGGACAUUGAAUAUCCCAAACUCUAAUAAGUCAUUCGUACUUUCCCCUUCCUUCAAUUCUUGUUGACGGGAUUUGACGGAAGGAAACGGUGGUGUUUAGGGGUAACUGUGCAAUUUAUCCAUUAUAUUGUCACAAUAUCUUGAUGGCUAAAAUGCACUUUAACCCCUUUAAUCUAUUAUGUGUUACACUUAAUCCCUUGGAUAAAAUAAAUUAUGCUACCCACUUCGGUCAUUUUUUUUUUAGAAAUGAACUUAGCUGGAAAUGUGAAGCAAUUAGGUUUUGAACUAUGAAUCUCGGGUACAAAUCAUCAAGUUCUUUGCCACCUGCACUGAUGGUCGGUAGCACUUACUCUCGUUUCACGUGUUUUUUUUAAUGUUGUAAUUUGAUAAAAUAUUUUUGAUCUUUUUGAGGGGAAUUAAGUGCGUACUUUUAUUUUAUUUAGAGGGGUAGUAAAGUCAGGGGCGAAGCCAAGAAUUAAGGUUUGGGGGGGCCAAGAUUUAGAUUUUGACAGAAAAAAAUUCGACCUCGAAUAGUAAAAAGAAGAGUUUGUCAGAUUCACUGAUCACCUAUUGCUAGCAAUAGUAGCGACAAUAUACUCAAGAAGGAACAAGACUGUAAGAGUUGAAGGGAAAGAACCAAGGGGUUCAAAAAAAAAAAAAAAUGGGACACAAGUUUUAUUAAAAAAAAUAAUUUGGCCCCCUAAAAUAUUUUAAUUUUUACUAUAAAGGACUUUUAUGUAAUUUUUAAAAGUUCAGGGGGGGCCAUGGCCACUGUGGGCCCCUGAAUGACUCCGUCCCUAGGUAAAGUGCAACAUGCGAUAUAUUGAGAGGGGUUAUCUGCAUUUUAGCCUAUCUUGAUUAUGCUUUUAGUAUAUUUUUCAAAUGCGCAACAAAUAAUUUUUAGAUAGUACGUAUGCUGUAGGAAGGAAUGCUUUAAAUAUUUAAGUCAAAAUGUAUGGAACCUUACCUGAAGCAUGACUGCAUUAUGUGUCGGCUACUUGAACUUUAAGAGUUUUAAUUUUACUAUCUAAUCUUAUAACUUGUUUGAUUUUGUACAUCCCGAUCAGAAUUUAACGGUAUUUUCGACUUCUUGGAUAGAAGAAGGGUUGUUUGGUCAUACUGUUGUUGUGUAUCUGCUUGUAUGGCUGGGCAAUUAUUUUGAUUUUUUUGAGGGCGGGGAUCGGAUCUAUUUUGUAAAUCUAUUCUCCAAUUGCUGACGUAAAAUGUUUCGGUUCUGUGUACUCCCUUUUUAUGUGCUUGUCCUGUUAUCUUGUUAAUUCACUGAACUAUAUUUGCGUGAAAUCUACUGAACCCAGGUUUCGAGGCAAUUUUACGACGCAAGCCUUUCUUUCCUCUUUCAGUUCUGUCAGUUUAUGCCCUUUUUCCUGCAACUCAUCUUUUCCAGCAUUCAUGUUUGCAGUCAAACAUGGGGGCCAAGUUCAUCAUUGGAUCUGUUGCUGCAUCCUUCGCGAUCGCCUAUCUGUGUGACAAAUUGAUUGCUGAUUUGAAGAUAUUUGGAGGUCGGUUAGAUUCUAUAUAUAGAAACAUCGUGAGAUGACUAAUGCAUUUGUGUCGUUAACUCAGAAGGCUUAGAAAUUGUUGUUUCUUGAAACCUAGGCACGACUCCGAAAACUGUCGCGGAUAAGGAGUGGUGGGAGGCCACGGACAACAAGUUCCAGGCCUGGCCGCGCACUGGGGGCCCGCCGGUCGUCAUGAACCCCAUCAGGCGUCAGAAUUUCAUCAUCAAGUCUGCCGACUCCUUAAAAUGGUAGAAUUUUGUUCUGAUGCAGCUUCGCUUCGCUAUGAAGAUUGUUCAGGCAAUAUAACAUACGAAUUUGGUUAUUAGUUUUGCUUCUUUGAUGUGUUAUACCAUCCACUUUUGUUAAACAGUUUACACAAUGGAUCUCCUCUCUCUCUUUCUCUCUCUCUCUCUCUCUCUCUCUCUCUCUCUAUAUAUAUAUAUAUAUAUAUAUGGGUACUAUUUUGCGACAUGCUCCCUCAACUUUUCACUUGAACAUUUAGUCCGUGAACUUUCUCAUAUAUUGCAAUUUACAUCCGUGACCGCACAAAAAAAAAAAAAAUCUAAUUUUUUCGCUGUAGAAUGACCACUUCACUCCCGUACGGCGAGUGCUUUGUUAUUUGAAAAUCUCAUUUUUAUAGGAAAAGGAUAGCGGCUCGGGAUGGAACUGCAAUACAUGUGAAAGUUCAUGGACUAAAUUGUGUAGCUGAAAAGUUUACAAGCGAAGUCGCAACAGUAGGAUAAUGGAGGGGCUCCAUACAUUUUACCCAAGGAUUUAAGUGCCUAUCGGUACGGUCUGUAUUCACCGUAUUGUACCGUGCUAACGAGAUAUUGAAACGAUACAGUUUUCGUGCCAAUGGCACAAUUCAGAACCCUUUAUUUUUUUAAAUUAGUAAGUAAUUUUCUUAAUAAAGAUUAAAAGAUUUGAUAAAGAUAUAUAAUAAACAGUUCGAAUGUUUUGUUGCUAAAGAAAAUAAAUGUAUCAUGCUAUUUUUUGUGACCGGCACGCAUCGGCAAGGUCCGACACGCACCGUGCCAGCAGGUUUCCGACACGAUCGCGUGGCGCGACACUUAAAUCCUUGAUUUUACACUGAACUCUAUAAACCCGUCGUGCGUGUGUUGAUCAUACUUUACCUUCAGUCAUAUAUACGUAUGAGAUGAUAACCGAUUGAUUCAAGGGGGAUGGUAUUAGCAAUAUGUAAAAAAUGUCUACUUAGUUGGUUAACCAAGAACAGUUUGGGAACCAAAUGAAUCUCUCUUGUCAAUUUGGGGACUAACUCUUUUUUUUUUUUUUUCCUUUUUCAAUCUUUUGUUGAUUUGAUCAGCUGAGAUGGGGAUCUUUCAGAGGCCAUCUUUCAUUCUCUAUCCGAUGUACAUUCGAAGGUACUUUGCUGCUUCCCCUUUCAUGCAUGGUUUGUAAGUGUAGUAGUAAGAUAAUGUUUUAGGUAUUACUGCAUGCUUACUAGUAAAUGAUUAUGUGUGUGUUUAAUUAGUUUCCGGUUAUCAAGGUUUAUGGGACACAUUCACAUGUAAAUAUUUUGUUCCUAAUAUCUCAUUAGGUUUCAUUAGGUGACAAUGUAUGUACCUUAUGUGAGUAAUCUUCAAAAAAUGUUUAAAUUGUGAGUACUAGUCCCUGAACUUUUGAGUCGAAUUUUACUUUGGUCCUCUUUAACUCUUGAUUUCCACAUUCGAGACCCUGAACUUUAAAUAAGGUUUUUCGACUUUGCUCUCUGAAUUUUUGAUAAUAUCUCAUUUCGUCCUCACCUUAAAGUAAAAAAUUAAUGUCUAUUUAACCUGGUACUAUGUUCAAUUUAAGUUAUCUAAUAAGCAAUUCUUUUAACCUAAUGUUAUUUGAUAAAAUAUUGUAUAAUUCAUUUGACAGAAACUACUCUAACAAAACUUAAGAAAGGUGUUUGAUGUGACUCGAAAUUGAUAAUCGACUUUAGUUCGGGAUUUCGACUCGCCGAUAGUUUCGCGGUGCGUCCGAAUUGGAAAAUAAAAUUGUGAAGGAAAAAUGGUUAAGUUUUCUUUUUCGUUUUUGGCCUAGAGGCGACAGAUCGAAAUUGGUUGUACUAUCUGAACAUUGUAUUCCCUUUUUCGUUCGAUAGUGAAGUUCUCUUCUUCCUCGUCCGCAGUUUUUUCCUGCAAAGAAUUUUUCACGUAAAUCUGUAUAUUCUUUUAUUUCUGUUUAUGAUUUGUUUAUUUUGUGUUCGUCAUUUCGUUUCCGUUUGUGCGUUUAUCGUAAGAAAAUGCUUGUAAGGCAUCUACUAAAAUAGAAAGAUUAGGUGUUAUAGUUAAAAUUUUUUAAGCAUUAGUAGAGAUUUUAGUCACUGUAUUGUGUGUCUUUGCUUCCUGAAUGCCACCUAUGAGCACCUAUGAUGGAACUAGAAAAUAGCUUUUGUGAAAAGCACAUGUUGAGCAUCUCCCCCAUGCAGGCAAAGUUUUGAUUCCCAAAUUUAGCAUGUUGUCAUAUUUUAUUAGUGAGGAGGGGAUGUGAUUCUGAGAGCUUUUUUGGUCACCUUUUUUCUUAGUUUUUUUGCUAAGGAGAUGCUAUGCACGAUUAGUUAUUUGCGUGCUUCUUUGCCGAGCUUCUGAAAUAGCUCAUCUAAGUUAUGGUUAGUGGUGAAAAGCGGAAAUAAGCUCCUAAAUUAUACGAGAAAUUUUUUUUAAAAAAGGAUUAGGUUAGGUUUGAUUGAGUAGUUCUACUAAAAUUGUUUUAAAAUGAUUAGGUACUCUUUUGGUGACCAAUUGAUUGUUCAGAGUGAAUUGGAUUGUGGAUUAGUUUGACCUUUGAAAUAGUUUUUUUUGAAUAAAAAAUAAAAUUUAAAUAUUUAUCGAAUGCAAAUGUUUAGAUCGUUCGGUGCUUCUAUCGUAGAGUUUUAGGAUUUGUUUGGCCAGAUUGAAGUUUAUGGAGAAGUUUUGCUGUUUGACUGGUGGAGCUGUUUAAACAAACACUCCUGAUUGAAAAAAAAAAAGAAAAGAAAAAAAAAGAGAAAAAUGGUAGUCGGGAGUUUUUCAACGAUGUCUCGUUAGGGAGUUCCGAUCCAUCGUCACACUUCACCUUUAUCUCUAUCCGAGGGUUAUUAUUAUUAUUAUUAUUAUUAGUAUUAAAAGCAUGCAACGAACCAUUGAAUUGAGGUGAAAUUAAAUACGUGACGGUAAAUCGGGGUUUCUUUAGGGAGACGUCAUUAGGACACGCUCCACGGAAGUUUUAUACCUCUCUACUUAAACUGCUCCUUGUUGUAGCUGUAGUGGAAUCUUUAGAUUGUUGCUACUAUGUUUUUUAUUUUUUAUUUUAUUUUUUUUUGAGGAGAAAGUUUAUUUCAGUUUAUUAUUUUUUUAUUUUGAACGCUAUCUGCUUCAUUUAUUUCAUUUAGAAAUAAACUUAGCUGGAAAUGUGAUACUUAAAUUUUAUUUUUUAUUCAAAAAAAACUAUUUCAAAAGAUACUUUGGUCUACAAUUUUCUGGAUAUUUUUUUUUAAGAGCUGUUUAUUUAGAAAUUUUGGAGAAAAAAGACAAAAUAUGUACCUAAAUAAAAGGAUAAACUUCAAAUAUCGCCUCUGUGGUUUUGCAUAUUUUUACUUUAGUAUUCUGUAGUUUANAUAUAAUCACUAUUUCAAUUUUGGUGUUUCAUGUUUACAUUUAUAAGUUAUUUCGUAUCAACCCCAUAGAUUUCAAAAAAUAUAUACUAAAUUGCUUCUCAAUACCUUUCACGACUACUGUUAUAUAUAUAUACAAAAAAAUUAACGGAGGGAAGAAAAACGAAACUAUAUGAUACUAAAGUGAUAUAUUUUAAAUUAUAGGGUACUAAAAUAAAAAAGUGCGAAACCACACGAAUGGUAUUUGAAGUUUUUUUAAAAAAAUAAAAAGCAAAAUAUAUCUAAUGCAGCUGGUUUAAAAUUUUAAUGGCUAAUAUUGUUUUAAGUUUAAAAUCUAAUUGCGAGUUUAUUUUACAUGUAAAAAAAAGAUAAAAUAAAAUUGAUGUAUUGUUGUCUUUCUCUCACGGGGAAAAAACACUUGACCCAAAGUAACAUUAUUUUAUUUGUGUGUUUUAAAAACCAAAAAAUCUCUUGCGAGUUGUGACUUAGUUAAAAAUUUAAAAUUAAAAUAUCAUUAGUUUUCCACUUUCAAUUUGGGAAUAACCGCAUUAAUUUUGUUAUUAUAUUGUUAGUAAAUAAUAAUAUAGGUAAAAAAGAAAAAAGUGGUGAAAAAAAGAAAAAAGUACAAAGAGGGUGAGGAGUUUAGCUUUAAAAAAUGUUCUAUUUGUAAACUCUUAAAAAGUAGUAAUAAGAUAUUUGGUGUAUAAAAACUUUUCAAUUGAAAAAAUGCCAAGUUGUUGGCUCUAAAACCUUCGAUCCGUUCUGUUUGUAUCCUUAAAUUUAUUCGAAACUUUGUUACGCAAUUUAAAAAAAAAAUUUGUUGUGGGAAAUUGUUUUAUGAAUAGGUGGGUUCCACAAGUUAAAAAAAAUUAUAAUUAUAAUAAAAAUAGUUUGUCAAAAAAAAUUUAUUUAUAAAAUUAGUUAUAUGCAGUGAAAAAAUUAUAGUUUUCUAAAUACCGCAAUUUUUCACUAUUUUCUUUAACAUAUUAAAAUUAUUUUUACAGGUUACUACUAUAUAUUUUUCAGAAUUUGAAUUUGGAUGCAGAAAAUAUUUAAAUUAUAGAAAAACGAUGAAUAAUUUACUAUUUUUAAAAUUAAUGAAUAAUAAUUCACCUUUCUUUAUUUUUAUAAUUAAAAUAUUUCUUAGGAGGCUUAACAGCCCAAAAAUCUCUCCUAUCCCUGCGAGGAAGUCUACUAUGCAGCAGUCACACUACAUCAUCAAUAUCUAGCCAAUCAUAUAUAUAUAUAUUUUAAAAUAUAAUAAUCUUUUUCUAAAUUACGAUGGUGAUAGUGAAUACUAAAAACAUAAUUAAAUUAGUUGAAAAGCAUCAUAUUAGCUUUGUGACUGUCGCAUUUUAAACCUUUUUUCUCCGUGCAAGAACAGUAUAUCUACUCUUUUUUUUUUGAGAAAAUCGUACGAAAAUAAAAAUUUAUUUGAAGAAAAUAAGCCGAUACAUAAUUGAAAAAAUUCUUAAGAGAGAAUCACACAGUAUAUAUUUUUUUUGCUAGAGAGAUACUAAUUAGCUAGUUGAUAAGCUUGUAUGGUAUUUUUGAAAAAAAGUUAGAAUUUCGUUCAAAAAAGAAGACGUGACGUUUGUGCACCAAGGACAGAAGCGUUUUAAGCUCUCUCUCUCUGUCUCUCUCUCUCUCUCUAGAGGAGUAGAAGUAAGAAGAUUUGUACAAACCUCUCUCUCUCUCUCUCUCUAUCUCUCUAAAUAUUUAUCAUUACAAUGAAGAGGCUUGGAGUAAUUAUUGGGAAGAGGAGGCUACUACCACUACAUGGGAGCUUCGAUCACCACCCCAAACAUCAACAACAACAAUAAUCUCCCUCUCACAAACUCAACAACAACAAACCCUCUUAAUCUCCUCUCUCUCAGGUACCCAUUUUCAAUCUCUCUCUCUCUAGUUACAAAUAGGGUAAACUUCAAAAACCCUCCGUGGUUUCGUAAUUUUUCACUUUGCCCCCCCUUAUGGUUUAAAAUGUAUCAAUUUGUCUUUCUGCGGUUUCGUUUUUCUCUUUUUCUUAUCAAUUUCAUUAUUUUUUUUUUCUUAAAUCAGUAAUAAAGUUAAAAUUAAAGAGUACUAAAGUAAAUAGUUGAUAAAUCUAGAUGGGUAUAUAAAGUUUUUUGUAUAUAAUUUAAUAAAAUAUUAACGAAAAAGCUAUCCAAAAAUAAAAAUAAAACUAAGGAAAGAAUUUGAUACAUUUUAAAUCACAGAGGAACAAAGUGAAAAAUUGCAAAACCACUGGACGAAUUUUUGAAGUUUUUCCUUACAAAUAAGAUAGAGCUCUUUAGAGAGAGAACACUCAAGAAGGUUCCGGAUGUUGUCAUAUCAAAAUGACCCCUCAACUAUGUAAUAUACGCGGCCUGAAAAAAUUAUACUUUACUAUUUUAUUAUUUUAUUUUUAUUUAAAAAAUUUAUCUUUAAAUAGAUUAGCAAAAAGGUAAAUUUGCUUGAAAAUUAUUGGAUGGUAUUCUCAAUUCUGUUUGAGGAUUUAUUCUUAUAGUAGAAUAAAAAUAAAAGCAGAGAAUAGUUAAAUAUAACUGGUUGAACCAUGGUGACAAAAUGAAACCAUGUUGAUAGUUAAUUAAUUGCCACUUUUGGACCAUCAGUAGAGUAAAGUGAAAAUACGCUAUUGAUUUUUUACCGUUGGUAACUUUUAUUUAUGACAUUAGAAAUUUUACCAAAUUUAUGAGUGGUUUUUAUCAAAUUUGAUCCCUAUUGAGCAGUUCGAAAUUUAGAAUAAUUUGAAAAAAAUUUUAUUAACUUACCUCCCUAUAAAAAUUUAAAUAAACAGAUUAAAAGUUAAAAGGGGCCUUAAUAAUACAUUUUACAUAAUGGUAUUACGUGAGGGGUGUCCAUGCAUUUUUACCUACUGUUUGAACAUGAAUAGGUGAUUCUCAGUUUCUCACGUUAUAUUUAGGCCUAGUUUCAUAAUAUCAAUUUUACACUAUAAAAGAUCUGAAAAUUCAAAACCGCUUAUAAUCUUUUCGUUUUUUAAUCUUUUUGUAUUUUAAUAUAUAGUAUAAAAUUGUCUACUCUGGAGAAGCAUGUAGCCGCAUGACAGUUCGUGAUUGGUCUAUUGUUGCCUAAUAACUAAAAAUGGAAUGCAUUUUCCAUCCAUUCAUAGCAGGGAAGUGCAUGGCCGGAAAGAAGAAUCCGACGGCGACGACGACGAUGAUACCGUCUCCGUAGACUCAAACCGAGUACAAGAGGCUCUAAACAGGAAGAACCCGGAGAAGCUCCAAGAGGAGUCCGGGGCCGUCGCGACGGUUCUCCCCGAGGAAGUGCUCGAGUCGGCCGAGUCGGACAUCUUCUGGGCCCCGGACCCCGAGACGGGCGUCUUCGUGCCUGCGGAGGAGGGGGAGGUCGACGUGAACACCAGGCUCCCCGCCCCGCCCCACCCGUCGGGGAUCACCAACGGGAGCGGAAGCAGUAAAGGGAACGGCAACGGUAACGGCUCGACGGUGCUCGAGGAAACCGUUUGGGUCCGAGAGGUCGAGGUCGAGGAGAUCGUAAGGCCUCCCCCUAUCGAAACCGAAACCGACGACUCAGAUCUCCUGUAGUUGAAGUUUCCUUUUUCUUUUUUCGCUUGUAACCGAAACCGUAACUGAAACCAGAGAAUAACACUAGGUACAAUUAAAUGUGUUGUUGUGAUGCUAGAAUGGAAUCCUCUUUAUCUAUCUUAAUCUUCAAGUAGUGGUACAAAUGGAGCUGUAAUCAAGGGUAACUUUUUGAAUGAAGUGCUUGUUUGUUUCAUAUUUGUUCUUUGAUGAUAAUUCAACUACACAUCCUCAACAUUCCGGUGGAUUCAUCUACAUAGACCCAAGGAACUUCUUUUUAGGGCUUCUUUGGCGCUUUUGUAUCUUAUGUAAAAGUGUUGUUCGAGUGUAGUUGUCGAAAGAUACAAGCCAGUUUCCUGCUGCUGUUAGAAGCAAAAGCUUUUUAUAUCGAAACUUCAGAUCUUGACGCGUAGAGGUUCAUUUUAGGUACUUAGUAAAGUAGGCUUUCUGCUUUUUACGCAAAGAAGCUAUUUUAGAAGCCAGACUAUUGAUGUGCGCAAAUGACCAUUCCUGCAACAUUAGUUUGCUUCGCCUCGCAUCAUCAGUGGAUCUUAACUAUACCUCCCUUCAUAAUGAUUUGCUCUAAAACCCCGAAAGCUUAUGCUUCCAUCUUCUUCUUUACUCCAAACUCAUGAACAACGCCGUCUAUCUCAAUAGAACUACAACCCGGGGUCUUCUUCACUUUCUUCCUCCUCAUCGCCUUUCGUACCCUGUUCGAAUCGUGACAACGAUUAUUUGCCGCAUAGAUAUUUGACAAAAGCACAUAACUCCCAUCCUCCUCAUUCUCCACAGUCAAGAGGUGCUUCAUCACACUUUCGCCCAUUGCAACUUCACCAUGGAUCUUACAAGCCCCGAGAAGCGACCCCCAUAUGAAAGCGUCGGGCUCGACCGGCAUUGCCCUAAUAAACUCACGGGCCCUAUCUAAAUACCCGGCCCGGCCUAGCAUAUCAACCACGCACCCAUAAUGCUCAAGUUGAGGAGUUAUAUUAUACACACUCGACAUGUCCUCGAAAUGGCGAAGCCCUAGCUCAACCAACCCGGCAUGAGUACAUGCCGAUAAAACCCCGACAAAAGUGACCCUAUUAGGGCUUAUACCAACUCUCAACAUCUCAUUGAAGAGAUUGAGAGCCUUCUCCCCUCGGCCGUGCAUCGCGAGCCCUACUAUCAUCGAUGUGUAUGCGUAAACAUCUCUCUUGCGCAUUUCGUCGAACACUUGCAUGGCAUGAUCGAUCAUCCCGCAUUUCGCGUACAUGUCGACCAACGCAUUCCCCAAAACACCGUCGGCCUUCGACCCGAUCCUAACCACAUACACAUGAACCCAUCUCCCCAUUUCGAGAGCUCCGAGGCUAGCGCAGGAGUUGAGAACUCCGACUAAGGUUGCGUCGUCCGGCUCGAUCCCUUCACCCUGCAUCCGCUUAAACAAAGAGAGAGCCCUCUCGAAUUCGCCGGCACGAACAAACCCGGAAAUCAUAGCAUUCCAUGAAACCACAUUCCUCCUAGGCAUCUUCUUGAAACACUUGUAAGCCGAAUCGAUAUCGCCGCACUUUGCGUACAUACUAAUCAAAGCAUUCCAAGCAAACACAUCCAAUUUGAUCCUACUACUAUCAACAUACCUAUGAACCCUUCUCCCCAAAUCCAAAUCCCCCAAUUUGGCGCAUGCGGCGAGGACCGCGACGAUCGCCACCGCAUCCGCCGCCGCGAAACCCUCAUCCACCAUGCACAAGAACACCUCGAUCGCUUGCUCUAGAAGGCCCAUCUUUGAAUACCCGGAGAUCAGAGUGGUCCAAGAGACCACAUCUCUCUGGGGAAAUUGGUCGAACAGGUUGUGUGCGGACACCAAGUCCCCGCACACGGCGUACAACCUGAUGAGGUUGUUCCUCACGUACAAGUCGCGCUCAAAGCCCAUUUUCACGACGUGGGCGUGGAUCGUUUCGCCCUCGAGCAGCGCGUUUGAAUCGGACAAGGAUUUGAGGAGAGGGGGGAAGGUGAAGGUGUCGGGAAUGGUACCGUUUUGGAGCGAUUCGACGUACGAGGACAUGGAGCGGGGCCGCGGUGGCGCGCUCCGAUCAUCUCCGGCGACGGCGCCGCCGCGCGCGGCGGCGGGGGUGCGGAGGGGGAGGGUGCGGGGGAGCUUUUGGGUGCGCGUUGCGUGGGGGGAGAGGUGGAGUUGGGUUGGGUUUGGGGAGGAGGACGACGAAGACGACGACGCCAUGGUUGGUUGCUUCUCCGAGAUCUAAUAAUGCAUUCUAUUUAUACAAAUACAAAUUAAAAAAAAAAACAAAAAAAAACUAAAGCAGUAGUCUAGUGGAUAGUUAUCCGGUAUGUUAAUGGACUCGCGGGUUAGCGGGUUAGCGAAGCUUCUGUCUCGAUAUGUCGUGAAUGAGACAAUAAAUGAAAGUCAAAAUUAGAGAAAAAAGAUUAAUUUGUUCCGAAUCUGUCCCGUUCCGCUGAAAAAAUAGAGCGGGAGAUUGAAGACCCAUUUUUUUUCUCGAUCCAAUCGGAUUCACAAAAAAUCCGCUAAACAUUCGGCCACGCUCUCCUCUUAACCUGCUUCUAAUAAAGCGGUAAGUUGGAGUAAAAAAUAGAAUACAAAUCAAUCCGCUUCGAAUCAGCCACCAAAGAAAAUGGGCGGGAGGUGGGAACUCUGUUCCGCUCUCUGAUCAUUUUAUUAAAUCUGACUCAUUUAUGAAUCAUAAUCCGUUUUUAACGGAUAGGUAAUAAAAAUUUAGUAUCUGACGUAUAUCCGCAUCAGAAUUCAUAUUAAAAAAAUAUGAAUACGAAUAUAAUUUUGUCGAAUACCCGAUCGUAUUCGAUCGCUUUCACCCCUAUUUAUAUGACAUCUCAAUUUUGUGCCCUUGGCUUUUAACUAAUAUUUUUUGCUUCUAUUAGUUGCUCUCAACCACUCCACCUAAGCAAUGGCCAUUUUUGUAUAGGAUUGAGUGAAUGCUUUCUCAUGGAGCCUCUAAAAAUUAUUAGUACCCAAAAUAGAACAACCAAAUCCAACAAAAAAAAACAAAAAAGAUAAAAAAAAAAAAAAACCACCAAACCCACAAUUUUGUUGGAUUAAUUAAACAAUUUAUUUCAUAAACUUAAACUGUUUUUUUUUUUUGUUUAGAGAGAAACUGAAUUGGUUUUGGUUUCUUUUCUUGUGAUUGUAUUUUGUAUUAUAAAUUGAGUUCCAAGUUUUUUUCCUAAUUCUCCAAUUAUUUUCUUUUUCUUUUUCUUUUUCUUUUCUUUUUUUUUUAAAACCAAUAUCACAAUCUCAUUCCUUGUUACAAGAAAGAUGUAUGAUCCAAGAUACCCACCACCAUAUCCUGCUCAAGGUAAUUGAACCAUUAAUUUAUAUACAUAUAUAUAUAUAUGGUAAUGUUUCCAUUUAAAUUCCUAUUUUAGAAAAAAAAAUAAUUUAAAGAACCAUUGAUUUGAUCAAAAUUUCUCUUUAUUAUAUUUUCAAGUGUUGCAUGCAUAAAACUUGGUUGCUUCUUAAUGUUUUUGACAAACCUCUUGGUUUUUUUAAGUUUUUUUUAUAUCCUUUUUGUGUCAAUUAAAAAGUUCUUUGCCCCUAUUUUGUUAAAUUUUAAUCUCUGUCAUUUGUUUACUAUGAUUUUGGAUGGGGGGGUUUGUUUUGGUAUCAUUUGCGUUUUUAUAUUUUAUUAUUUAAACAUAAUUUUAUAUAAUUGAUAUGUAAUUUAUAUAUAUAUUUAAUAUAAUAUAUAUAGUAUAUAUUAAAUUAUUAUAUAUAUUUAUAUAUUAUAUAUAUAAAUAUAUAUAUAUAUAUAUUUUUUUAUGGUUGGUUGGUUAAUUUAUUAUUUCGAUAAAUGGUAUAAGUGAUAUUUAUCUUUAAAAAUUUUGAAAGAAAAAAAGGGAUGUUUUUAAGAUUCUUGUUUUGUUGUUUGUUACGGUGAAGUUUGGGUAAAAAUGAUUGCAUAACAAUCUUACUGUUUUAUCCUGUAAUUUUGAAUUAAAAUUAUCUUUUAAAAACAAAAAAUACGAUUCAAAUUAAUAGGGAAGCUUUUGUUAUUUACUCACGACUUGCUAAUUCAAAAAUUGUUUUAAUUUAUUCUAAAUUACUAAAAUACCUUCAAUUCCUAAUCCACUAGCUAAACUCUAUAGGAUUUAAGAUAUUGAAAAAAAAUUUUAAAAUUAAUAAAAUAUUUUAGUCAAACACGAAAUAUUAUAGAUAUAUAUUAGUAUUUCUGGAAGCUUUUAAAAAUAUUAUCCCAAAUUAAUAUAUAGUAUUGUUUUUUUAAUUUAAGGUAUUAUCAAGGACUCUAUUAUGGGCACACACCUCAAUAUUGCAGCUCCGCCGGAAAAGGGCGGCCGGCGCCGGCGGCGGCUUCUACCGGGAUUGGUGAGUUUAUUUCUUUACAUAUCAAAAAAUUUAAUCUUUACAAUCUAUGAACACUAAUAUUUAAACAUUUCGAAGAAACAAAAAAUCACAGAUAGUAUAAGCAUUAAUUUCUUUAUUUAUUCUUCAGAGUGCAGAAAGAUUCGAAAAUAGAAAAUUUAAUAGAAUUAUAGAAAGAAACCUUGCAGAAGCGAUUGGAGACAUUUUACCAUCUUAAACUUUCAUUGUUGUGAAGUCGAACCUAAACUUCGGAAAUUUUGAUGGAUUACUCUAUUAAACUUUUACAAGUUUUUUAAAAAAUAUAGAUUUCAAUUUCAAAAUAUGUUCAUAGUUUCAGAUAGUAUAUAGCGAAAGAAUCAAGCUUUCAGUUACAUUGACGUAAAGUAAUCGGCAUCUUUAUAAAAUAAAUAAAGCGACAUUGCUUUCGUUAUUUAUCGAUCAUAGCGACAGGGUAUCUGAAUUGAUGAUCACGGAUCCUGAAUAAUAUCUAUACAUGUUAAACUUGUAAAGGGUUGAAUAUUUCAUAUUUCUUUGAUUCAUUUAGUUUUUGAAAUGUUAAAUUCCCUGGAAAAGAUGAAAAAAACUGUUAAUUCACGAAACACUGUUAUUCAUAACAAAAAAAAAACACUUUUUUCAUAGUUUUUAUUUUCGAAUAAAAUUAAAUAAUAAAGAAAUGUAACACGAAACAGCUAGUUUUCGUGAAAAUCUGAAGAAAAAAGUUAAUUUCUUUUUUUGUAGGAACCAAAAUGAAUGAGAUAUUUUUUAAGCUCAAAACUAUUUAGGUCAUUAAUGUUUCAUAUUUUAAUUUUAUUAUUAGUCAAUAUAAUGUACGUCAAUUGAGGCUAAUGUUUAAAAGUAAUAAAUAUAGGAUCUAAAAGUUAAAAUUAGAUAGAUCAAUAAUGCAGUCAAUUUCAAAGAAAGGCAGAAAUUAGACAACAUAUAAUCUUGAAAAAUAAUAAACUCGUUCUGAAUUAUUAAAUAGCGUAAUCAAAUUAAAUGUGCGUCAUGAAUUCGAUGCGAAAAACCAUCGGUGACAAAUGACGCAGAAGUAAAUAUCCCUGUUUAGGCUUUUACAUGAAAUGAUCAUUAUCUCUAAUAAUAGAUAGUUUUCUUUUCUUUUUUUUUUUGAACAAAUGGAAAAUAAUAUCAUAUUUAUUUUUUAAUUUUUGUAGCCUUGCUGUUUAUGUGUUUGUGGCCUACUGGGAUGAGUGCUGGCUGUGAAUCUCCUCCAUCAUUCAUUUUACGUUGGAUUUAAUUUUGAUUAUUGUAUCAAUUGUAACUAUGUUACUAAUAUACAUUGUUCAACUUCCAUAAUGUUGUAUAUCUAUUUUUUUCUUUUUUUUUUUAGCUUGAUGCUAGCUUUAAAAUUAUGUAUAAAUUAAUGUAUCUUAUCAAUUGUCAAAAGUUAUUUAUUUGUAAAUAAAAAAAUAAAUACCCUAUUUAAUUUAGGCCUCCUUGUGAGUGGUAUUGUUGUUAAGAGUUUUUGUUUUUUUAAUUUCUUCUGUAAAAGCUUUAAGCUAUUUUAUAUUUUUUAUUUUUAUACUUAAACACUUAUUACUAGAACGUUUGAAAGUUUGAUAGUUGGGACUUGGAUUAAAUCGAGAAAGGAAAUUAAGUAAAGCUAGAAAUAGAAGUUUUGGUGGUUUGAAUUCAAUAUAAGAACUUUUACAACUUUAAUGAUUUACUAAAUUAAUUGGUUGGAAUAUAGGGGGCUGCGCUUGCGUUUAUGUGCGAUUUAUAAACUGGCACAAGGCUGUAAACUGUACCUUUUUUGUUUUAUGAUUACCAUAAGUACAAAUGAUUUAUUACUUUUUGAGGUUAAAAUCGAAAUCAUCUAAUUCUUCACCACUUACCGAAGUCGAACUGUUGUCAGGUUUGGUUGUAUUUGUAAGCUGAGAAGUUUGAAUUUUCUUGCGCAAUUUUAAUCGCAAGAGUUUAUGAUUAAUUAAAGGGGGUUAAUAUCAUUUACUUGUUUUUCAUAUACGUAAUAAACAAAAUAUAUUUCUAAAAGUUCAACUUUAUAUGUUGCUUUCUGCAAAAGUCAUAAUUUAAUAUGUUCCUUACUUGUUAGAAUCCGUUAGAAAUUUUAGUUAACCCAUUAUUGUUAAAUACUAACUCUGAUCGUUUUGAAUUUUACCCUCUUGUUAUUAUACUUGUUAUAAAACUUUUGGAAAGAACAUAUUUCUGAUGGCAAAAAUUGAAAUAUAAAACAGUUCUAACAUUCUCUUAACGGUAAUUAACAGAUGGACAUAUUUGAAAAUGUUAGAAGUUUUAUAGGAAUAAUGAAAGUUAAAUUAUUAGGAUAUGAUUGAUUAUUUACUAAAUUUGUAGGACCUGUAUGAAUUAAUCUUAAUAAAUGCCAUGCUUUAUCAAAUUUGAUUCCUUUGCUUUUCCUCAAUCAAACUAGAUGUUUUCUUUUCUUUUUAUUUUUUGAAAAAAUGGAAAAAAAAUAAAUAUCUAUUUUAUUUUUUUUAAUUGAGCCUUUUGCUGCUUUAUGCUGCUGUUUGGACUACUGAUUGAGUUGCUGCUGUGAUCCAUCAUCAUCAUUAGUUGAUUAAUUUGAUUAUUGUAAUUAAUUGUAAACUAAUGUUACUAAUGAUAAAUUGUCACUUCUUGUUGUAUAAUCUAUUUUUAUUUACUUUUUUUUUUUUAUGUUGAUGUAGCUUGUAAAUCUAAUGUAUCAAUUAAUUGUUAUCUAUAAAUGUCAAGGUUAAUUUUGUAAUAAAAUAUCUAUUUAAUUUAGCCUUCCAUUGAUGAGUGGUAUUGUUGUUAAGAGUUUUUGUUUUUUAAUUUCUUCUGUAAACGUUAAGCCUAUUUUAAAUAUUUUUUUAUUUUUAUACUUAAACUUUUAACUAAGAAGUUUGAAAGGUUUAUAGGUGGACUUGAGAUAAUGAGAGAGAAUUAAGUAAAGCUAGAAAUAGGAAAGUUUGGUAGCAGUUUGAAUUUCAUAUAAGAACUUAUAACAAUUUAAAAUGUUACUAAAAAUAAUGUUGAUGAUAAGGCUCGCUUGGUAAUGUUGCGAUAUAUAACUGCAAGCAGCUGUUUAAUGACCUUUUUUUGUUUUAUACAUAGCUACCACUGCAAAUUUUAUUACUUUUGGGGUAAAUCUUCAUCUAAUCUUCACCAACUACAGAAAGGUCGAAACUGUUGUCAGUUUGGUUGUAUUUCAAGCUGAAAGAAGAAGUUGAAUUUUCUUGCGCAAUUUUAAUCGCAAGAGUUUAUGAGUUAAUAAAGGGUGGGGUUAAUAUCAUACUGUUUUGCCAAAUAUAGUAAAUACAAAUUAGAUUCUAUUAAGUUCACUUUUAUAUGUUGUUUCUGCAAAAGUCAUGAUAUUUUAAAUAUGUCUACUGGUUAGAAUCCAGUUAAAAAAUUUUAGUUAACCAUAUGUUAAAUAACUAACUCUGAUGCAGUUUUUGACAUUUUUAACCCUCUUGUAAUUAUACUGUUUAUCAAACUUUGGGAAGAACUUAUUAUCUGGAUGGCAAAUUUGAUAUAACAUUCUAACUAGUUCUCAACGGUAAUAAACAGAAUGCCGAUAUUUUGAAAUGUUUAGGAGUAUUUUGGAAUAAUAUAUGAAAGUUAAAAAACUUUUAUAGGAAUAUGUUUAUUAUUUACUAAAUUUGUAGGGACCUGUAUUGAAUAAUCUUUAAUUAAAAAUGCCAUGGCUCACAGUUUCUUUGCUUUUCCUCUAAUCAACUAGAUAGUUUUCUUUUCUUUUUUUUUUUUGAAAAAAUGGAAAAAUAAUAUCUAUUUAUUUUUUUUUAAUUUUUUGUAGCCUUGCUGCUUUAUGCUGCUGUUGCCUACUGGAUGAGUGCUGCUGUGAUCCAUCCAUCAUCAUUUUUAGUUGAUUAAUUUGAUUAAUUGUAAUUAAUUGUAACUAAUGUUACUAAUUUACUACAUUGUUCAACUCUCAUAAUGUUGUAAUAAUCUAUUUUUUUUCUUUUUUUUUUUUAGCUUGAUGUAGCUUGUAAAUUAAUGUAUCAAUUAAUGUAUCUAUAAAUGUCAAAGGGGUUAUUUAUUUGUAAUAAAAAAUAAAAUCACCUAAUUUAAUUUAGCCUCCUUGUUGAGUGGCUAUUGUUGUUAAGAGUUUUUGUUUUUUUUAAUUUCUUCUGUAAAAGUUUAAGCUAUUUUAAUAUUUUUUAUUUUUAUACUUAACACUUAUUACUAGACGUUUUGAAAGGUUUGAUAGUUGGACUUGAGAUUAAAUGAGAGAGAAUUAAGUAAAGCUAGAAAUAGAAGUUUGGUAGAGUUUGAAUUCAAUAAUAAGAACUUUACAACUUUAAAAUGUUACUAAAUAAUGUUGGAUAUAGGGCUCGCUUGGUUAUGUGCGAUUAUAACUGCAGCAGCUGUAACUGUACCUUUUUUUUGUUUUAUAUUACCAUAGCUACAACUGCAUUUAUUACUUUUGGAGGUUAAAAUCGAAUCAUCUAAUUCUUCACCAACUACAGAAGUCGAACUGUUGUCAGUUUGGUUGUAAUUUCAGCUGCAGAAGUUGAAUUUUCUUGCGCAAUUUUAAUCGCAAGAGUUUAUGAGUUAAUUAAAGGGUGGGUUAAUAUCAUACUGUUUUUUGCAAAUAUAGUAAAUAACAAAUAUAUUUCUAUAAAGUUCAACUUUUAUAUGUUGUUUCUGCAAAAGUCAUGAUAUUUUUAAAUAUGUUCCUACUGUUAGAAUCCGUUAGAAAAUUUUAGUUAACCAUAUGUUAAAUACUUAACUCUGAUCAGUUUUUGACAUUUUUACCCUCUUGUAUUAUACUGUUAUAACUUUUGGAAGAACAUAUUUCUGAUGGCAAAAUUGAAAAUAUAAACAGUUUUCUAACAGUUCUCUAACGGUAAUAAACCAGAUGGACAUAUUUGAAAAUGUUAGAAGUUUUAUAGGAAUAAUAUAUGAAAGUUAAACUUUAUAGGAAUAUGUUUAUUAUUUACUAAAUUUGUAGGGACCUGUAUGAAAUUAAUCUUUAAUUAAAAAAUUGCCAUGCUUUAUUCACAUGUUCUCCUUUGCUUUUCCUUUUUCUUUUUCCCUUAUUGUCUUUUCUCUUUUGCUUUGCAUCAUCUUUUUUUCCUCUCCUGUGAGACCAACUUAGAUCUUUCAAUUUUAAUUCCAGAUUGUAAUUGUGAAAUUUAAACUAAUAUCAGAUUCUCAGAAUUUGAAACAGAUUUUAGUAUAUUUUAAUAUGUAAUAUACGCAUUGAGUCUAUAUUCAAAAUUUAUUUUUCAGAUUCCUCAUUUUUUUUUCUCUAUAUGUAUUGCAUUUAGUUUGAACUUAAAAAUUCAAAUAUACAUCAGUAUCUUUUUAGAUUUUUAUAUUUAUGGAUUAUGGGGUAUGUAUUCUCCUAUUUGAUUAGUAUCCAAUUAGUCUCAAAAUUUACAUUUUUUUUGGGUAUUUGAUUUUUAAAUCUUAGUAUUCGUCUGAUAUUCAAAUCCGUAUUUAUUUAUAUAUUUAUUAUAAUAUAAGAUAAAAAUAUACAGAAUAUAUCUGAACUAUAGACCAUUUUGAUUGUACUACCAAAUCUUUCAAUUUAUUAGAUUUGAGUCAUUCAACGACUUUUUAACUUUAAAUUUAAAUGUGCUGUUUAUCUUUAUAGAUUUAGUUAAUAUAUUUUGUAUAGUUUUCGUAACUAUAAAUUGAUUAAAGUAAAUAAUUAGCUAAAAUAUUGAAGUCAAAGUACUUUUAACGGACUCAAAUCAAAUAAAUUAAAAUGUUGGACAAUAAAAUUAAGAUAUUAUAAGAUAGGAUAGCAGAUUCAAAAUCUAUAUUUUACCUCUUUAAAGUUUCAGAAAUAUUUUCAGUGAAUUACGACGUUAAUGAGAAUAGCGAAAUGAUCGAACUAUCUUUUACUUAUUCUAUAAAAAAAAUAAUUUUUUUUAACAUAUUUGUAUUAUUUUUAAUAGUAUUUUCGGUAUGAAUUAUAAAAAUAUACGGAAUAAUAAUGAAACCUAGAAGAGUCUAAAUACAUCAACUUAAAACUUUAAUAAAGGUAUAAAAUAUAAAAUUUUGAAAUUAAAAAGAUUUAAAAUAAAAAAAAAGAUUUUUAUAAAUUUUUUUCUAAAUUUUAGCCAUACAAAAACGAGUAUCCAAUACACGCCCUUCCUCUUCUAGAUGCUUCCGCGGCAUCGCGAAUCAACGGACAAUAACAGUGCAGUGCAAAAAUCGGACGGUUGAGAUCGUUCUGAAGCUUCGCGACCAAUCCCCAAAACCCUCGAGCGCUCUCUAUAAAUAGCCCCUCUCAUCCGCCCCCUCUCCACUCCCUCGCUCACUCCCCAAGCGCGCGGUGUAGAACCCUAACCCUAAUCUCGGAGCCUUAUCCACCAAGGUGCGGCAAAACCCUAGCCCCCCCGAAUCCGUCGCGAGGUGAGCUCUUCUCCGUUUUUUCGCGUCAUCUGGAUGUGUUUUUGAGGAGAAAUGGGAUCGCUUUUGUGGGGUCGGAUUCGGUCGGGAUUGGGGGGACUUAGGGAUUGUGAUUUGAGAUUAGGGGAGGGUCUUCUCCGUUUUCGCAUCAUAUGGAUGUGUUUUUGAUGAGAAAUGGAUCAUUUUUGCAGGGUUUGUAGGGUGGGAUUUGGUUGGGAUUGGGGGAUUAGGGUUUAUGAUUCGAAAGCAGGGUCUUCUCAAUUUUUCGCAUCAUUUCGAUGUGUUUUUGAUGAGAAAUGGGUCGUUUUUUUGGAAGGUCUAUGGGGUGGGAUUUGAUUGGGGUUGGGGGUUUUAGGGGUUAUGAUUGUUGUAAAGCUUUAUAAUUUUGAAUCUUUGAUGUUUGUGGCAGUAGUUUAAUCCAAUUUCCAUUUGAAAGUGUCGAGCUUAUUAAUGUUUGCUACGUAGCUGUGUGUUGAAGAUGAUACGGAGAUUUUGUCGCACGAACUAUGAUGAUUUCGAGUUUAUCAGAUAAGAGUACAUGGUUAUAAUUCUGUAGAGUAUUAUGAUUCUAAAUAUAAAUCUUAAAACUUCGAUUUGUUGUAAUAUCACCACCAUAUCAGCGACGCAUCAGCACCUAGUCCGCUAAAUUGGACUCUGGGAUUUAGUUGCAACAAUCUGUUACUUGACCGUAUCGUUGGGAAAAAUGUGUGAACUCAAAACGUUCUUGUAUAUCAAAUCAAUUUCCUGUAAAAUUGUUGCUUACUCAUUAUAUUGAUUAUUAAAUUUUGCAAAUUUGUCUUCCUGAUAGAUGUUCCGAGAGUGCGUAUGAUGGUUAUUGACUAGUUUUUUGAAUCAGGCAAUAUAUGGCUUCUGCUUUCGGCACCAUUUCGACAGUCGGCCUCGCGGCUGCCCCAAGCAGCUUUGCGAAGGAGAAGAGGCUUUCGGCUUCUGAGAAGCUCUCUUCUCUUGCUUCUAUUUCAUCCAGCUCUGUUGGUGCUAGGAUGCAGAAUGUUAGACUCCAGAAGAAGCACAGCUCCAAGAUCAGAGCAAUGGCGAAGGAGUUGUACUUCAACAAGGACGGCUCAGCUAUUAAAAAGCUGCAGGUACUUUUUCUUAAGAUUAUUAACAAAACAAACUAAAUUAUGACUGCUAUUGUUUGAAGCUGCUUCAAUCUUCACGUGUUUUCUCAACUCAUUAAAUUUCAGAUCGGAGUUAAUAAGCUUGCCGACUUAGUGGGAGUCACACUUGGUCCCAAAGGAAGGAAUGUUGUUCUAGAAAGCAAGUAUGGGUCCCCUAAAAUUGUGAAUGAUGGUGUCACGGUGGCGAAGGAGGUAUGCUGCUUUUAUGUUUUACACGACGUCCUUUGUUGUUUAAUCGUAAGGUCUCUAAGUGCAUCAAGGCGACAUUUUAAUUAUUUUUGUCUUUGCCUAUGCUAUUUUUAUGGUUCGAGCUGCUGCCUCAUACUCUAUUGUUGCUGUUGAGAUCUUACCCUUCUCUGCAUGAGAAUUGUUGUGAAGCCCUUUAACAUCUUGUAAAUUAUAUUCCUAAUAAGUUAAUUUGCUAUCCUUAUCGUUAUUAGGCCAGCUUGUUCGAUAUUGAAAGUUACUAGUCCUCUAAUUAUGAACUUUUAUGUAUUCUGGCGAGCAAGUUGAGUUUAAUAAAGCCUUCGACAAAUCCUUUUUAAGGUUGAGCUCGAGGAUCCUGUCGAGAAUAUCGGAGCUAAGCUGGUGAGGCAAGCUGCUGCUAAGACCAAUGACUUGGCUGGAGAUGGGACAACCACUUCUGUCGUUCUUGCUCAAGGAUUAAUCGCUGAAGGCGUUAAGGUACGCACAAAGACUUUACAUUUUCUCAAUGUUUAUAGUGUGGCAAAUAUCUUCAAUGUUGAUAAAUUGUUUCUUUUUGUAAAAAAAAAUAAUUAUUCAGGUAGUUGCUGCGGGUGCCAACCCUGUCCAGAUAACGCGCGGUAUUGAGAAAACAAGUAAAUCUCUCGUUGAAGAGUUGAAGAAAAUGUCUAAAGAGGUAAAUUACAGCUUCCUUGGGCAUAAUAAUUAACAAGGAUAGCAUAUUUUAGCGCUUUGCUAUCUCGAUCUCCGAGUGAUAGAGAAGAAAGUUUAUUUUGUGUUCGGAUUGACAUUACAUGGAUAACAGUAAUGAUGAGGGGUAAGUUUAAUAAUUAUGGGGAUGAGUGAAGAAAAAAAUGAAGGAUGCUGCUAGUCCUUCGAGCUGUAGAGUAGUUAUUUUUUGGUCGUAGAAUAAUCUUGUUUGAUAGGGAACGAUUAUUCCAGGUGAUAUUUUACUUUAUUUUUAGCAGAGAAAGAUGGAUAUCUUUUGUUAUCUCCUUUUUGUGCUGAAAUAUUUGCAUCCUUGGAGUCUCUUUAAUGUAUGCUAGUUUCUAUACCCAUUCGCCGCAUCAUUAUUAUAUACUAUCCUAUGCGGCUGUGCUUCUUUUUUUGUUGUUCCUUUUCUCUUGUAUUGAUCGUUUUUUUUGAGGUUCUGCAAUCUUUCACUGCAUUUAUUCCGAAUUCACAGGUUGAAGACAGCGAGCUUGCUGAUGUGGCUGCAGUGAGCGCCGGAAACAACUAUGAAAUAGGUAACAUGAUCGCCGAUGCCAUGAGUAAGGUGGGUAGGAAGGGAGUGGUCACCCUUGAAGAAGGGAAAAGUGCCGAAAAUAGCCUUUAUGUUGUGGAGGGAAUGCAAUUUGACCGAGGCUACAUUUCUCCUUACUUUGUUACUGAUAGUGAGAAAAUGACUGUGGAGUAUGAGAAUUGCAAGGUUUGAUGCAUUUCUAUAUAAUAACGGUCCCUAUCUAAUUUUGAUCAACAUCGAACAUUUAUUUUCAUGUACGUCAUCUCCAUUUUUCUCUUCUUUUUUCAGCUGCUGCUUGUUGACAAGAAAAUUACAAAUGCCAGAGAUCUUAUCAAUGUUUUGGAAGACGCCAUAAGAGGCGGAUAUCCGAUUAUUAUAGUUGCUGAAGAGAUUGAACAGGAAGCUCUUGCGACUCUGGUCGUGAAUAAGCUGAGGGGGGCACUGAAAAUCGCCGCAUUGAAAGCCCCUGGAUUUGGAGAGAGGAAAAGCCAGUACCUUGAUGACAUUGCAAUUUUGACUGGAGGUUAGAUAAUAUUUAACAUCAAUUUUAUUUAUAUAUAUAUGUCCUGCAAAACCAUCUAUUUCCACAAACACAUCACUAAACAUUUGAAAUUUUCGUUUGUGCGCUCUAAAAAAUUGCAGGAAGUAUAUUGGCAGUUUGUGUAGUUCUUAAUUGUUUAUUUAACUGUGUGAUUAUUUUCUGCAGCUACUGUGGUUAGAGAUGAAGUUGGGUUGUCUCUGGAUAAGGCCGACAAAGAAGUUUUGGGCACUGCGGCAAAGGUUGUGCUUACCAAGGAUUCAACCACCAUAGUUGGUGAUGGAAGCACUCAGGAGCAAGUGGCCAAACGAGUUGCACAGAUCCGAAACCUAAUUGAGGUCUCAUUUCCAUAAAACUAUUUUUCACGGCUUUUCUUGUCAACUUUGUUCUCUCCCUAUAGCGGGCAAAAACUCUACUGAUGUUCUCGGGUGGACAAUUUUGCGAUUGUAUUGGUGAUUUUGCUUGGUAAUGGUAGAGUUUGAUAUUACAGGACCAACUAAUGUUGCGUGUUGGUGCCUAUUUUCUCAGGCUGCGGAGCAAGAAUAUGAAAAGGAAAAGCUUAAUGAGAGAAUAGCUAAACUCUCCGGCGGUGUUGCUGUAAUUCAGGUGCAUCAUUGUGCUAGAGACGCGGCAUUUUAUUUAUUCUUUUCUACACAAAACCAUAAUAUGCCUCAAGUUUUUCAUUAAAUUUCUUAGGUUGGAGCCCAAACAGAAACCGAGCUGAAGGAGAAGAAACUGAGAGUGGAAGAUGCUCUCAACGCCACAAAGGUAAUUUAUUUAUUUACUUUUUGGAUUCAACCAGCCUAAUUUUGUUCGCUUCGAUGUUUAUUGUACAUUUAAUCGUACUAUUUUGUGCUCAGGCGGCUGUCGAGGAAGGUAUUGUUGUUGGCGGCGGCUGUACACUUUUGAGGCUCGCAUCGAAAGUCGAUGCCAUUAAAGACACCCUUGAAAAUGAUGAGCAAAAGGUAUAAUUCCAGAGCGGUAUAUACACUUCUACUUGGGGUUAGUUAUGAUGUUAGCUCUUAAAAGUUUGAUGCUUCGAAUGGCACCGACACAGCAAUUUUUCACGCAGUGAGUUUACCUUUACGUGAAAUAAACUUAAAUGGACGAAAUCGUUAAUUUGAUACCCUCGAGGGUGGUGUAAUUCAUGAAAGCUCGUCUUCCUCCGGGAAUAGUAUUGGAAUUUUAGCCUCUUUGGUGCUGGCUGACUCGAUGGCUCGAUGCAUGACUGCUUUCUUCCCUUCGUUUAUGACUUUUGCAGGUUGGGGCUGAUAUAGUCAAGAGGGCCUUGAGCUACCCACUGAAGUUGAUCGCUAAAAAUGCGGGCGUUAACGGAAGCGUCGUCACUGAGAAGGUCCGAGCUCUCAUCUUUUUUCUAUUAAAAUCUAUUUAAUUCGGUGAGCUUGUCGCUAAUUUACGUUCAUUUUAACCGCAAUCCACCUACUCAGGUUCUCGCCAGCGACAACCUUAAAUUUGGUUAUAACGCCGCGACCGGAAAAUACGAGGACUUGAUGGCUGCCGGUAUCAUCGAUCCCACCAAGGUUUGUCGAUCCGUCAAUUUCUCCUCUUUUCAAGUCAUUUCCUUGGAUUCGCUACUAGAUUCCGAAAGUUCAAGUGUUAAUGAACCUGCGCAGAUCUCUGCAUACAGAUAAUAAUCAAAAGGGACAAGCAUGCUACAUUUUCAACAUUUUAGAUGAUUGAAAACUUCAUUAGCUUUCGCUUCGAUCUUGUUUUAACUAAUUUGACAUGAGAAAUUAAAUCUGAAAAACAAAAACGAACGAACGAUUGAACGAAAUGCAGGUGGUGAGAUGCUGCUUGGAGCAUGCGUCGUCAGUCGCGAAGACGUUCCUGACCUCGGACGUGGUGGUGGUCGAAAUCAAGGAGCCCGAGCCUGCCCCGAUGACGAACCCGAUGGAUAAUUCCGGUACGCGCUCCGUACCCGAUUUCGAGUUCGACCUAAAUUACGAAUUCGAAAAUUCUUAAACAUUUUGCUCAUUCGGGAGUUUGACCUAAAUUGCGAAUUCGAAAAUUCUUAAAACAUUUUGCUCAUUCUUACCAGGUUAUGGAUACUAAUCGAUCGAUCGACGGCGAAAACCAUGACGAGAGCGCGGGGCGGUGUUCCUUUUUUUUGUAGAUCAAUGUUUCGGUUCGGCGAGGCGAGGGAUUGAUUAAUUUUUGUUCUAUUUAAAGUCCUAAUAUGAUGCAACAGCAUAGAUCUAUCUUGCUUAUGAGGAAUUUAGCUUCUUUUUUUUUUCAUUUUUCAUUUUAUUUUAUUUUUUAAGAAGAGAGUUUUCAUAAUCAUUGUCUCCAGUUAUAACACUUGUAGCUCAGGAUAAGAUCUCAGUUUUUAUGCUGCUUUUUGUUAGGAGAGAGAAAGGGUUUAGGGGCAUUUUGGUUUGUGCUUUUUUAAAAAAAAAUUUGGAUUGAUUUUGCAAAAUUCAAAAUAUUGACCUGUUUUUUUUUUUUGGCAAAAUCACAAAAUCAUUAGAUGUUUCAGGAAAAAAGGUCAUAAAAAAUUUGAAAGCAUCUUUUUUUUUAUUGUUUUUAAACUAGGUUGUUAUUGUUAUUUGUUAUUAUAUUAAGUUAUCUAAUAAUUGUAUAGAAUAAUAAAUUAUGUAGAAGAAUAACUAUUAUAUUAAAUUAUUUAGAAUAAUAAUUAUAGAGGAUUAGAGUUUAAACAAAAUUCAAGAAAACUCUUGACAUGCAGAUUAAACAUCCAAAUCUAAGUUGUGUUAAAAUCAAAGUGAAAAACGUGCAAAUUUAUUUGAGCUAGGAAUUAUUUUAAUUUGUCUAUUAUUUUUUCGCAAUUUUGAUUUUAUUAUUCAAGCUUUUAUUUUCUUUGUGCUUUAAUUUUUAAAUAAAUUUGACUGUUAAGUAAUCUAGUUUUAAUCUUUAGUCAAAAGUGUUGAUGAUUCGUCAACUCGAAUUAAAUAAAUUAAAAAAUUGGAUAAUAAAAUUAGAAUUUUAAAUUUGAUAGUCGAAAUUUGAUUUUUUUGAAAAAUUAAUCUGAAUUCGACCCUGUUCACAUUCCAUUCCUGGGAUAAAGAGUAGGACGUGAAAAGGACGAGUUUGUUUCCUUUUUAGCAUCCAACACCUCGUGAUGUGUAUUUGUCACACAUUAGAAUCAACAAAGUUUUGUUCUAAUACCCAAUUAGGUUUUCUUUUUUUUCCCUUUUUUUAAAAAAAAGAGUUUUAUUAGAGUGUUUUUUUUUUUGUUUUAAUUUGUUUUUGUUUUUUUGUUAUUUAUUGGUGAUACGGAGAUUUGGUAUUAAGAUGGAGGAAUUAUUGCGAAUGCAUCCAAACUAAGACAGCAAGAUCAAUUAUUGAGUGGGUGAUUAUUCACAAUUUUUAUAAACUUAAAAUUAAAUUUGUUAAAUAAAAUUUGAAAUUAGUUAAAUUUUCAUUUCGAAACUAAUUUUAUAUAAUUUAAUAUACUGAUUGUAAAAGUCCUUUUCUUCCUGUUGUGAUUAGUUAAAUUUUGGAUUAAUUUCAUAUAGUAAAUAUAUCAAACAUCAAAUAUAUUCUUAUAAAAUCCAACUUUUUAUAUUUAUUCGUACAAAAGUUUAGCGAUAUUUAUAUUUGUUCAUCUGAUUUGUUACCAUUAACACUGUUUAUUUUUUAAUAGAGAAUAUGUGAAAUGACAUUUUUGCUAUUACAAACAUAUCUCUUCAAAAAUUCUAACUGUUAGAAUUAUAUAAAAAUAAAAUCUCCAACGGUCAUCUUUUUCAUUUCUGCCCGAUAAUAUAAGAGAGAUAAAAAGAUCAAUUUGCUUCAUUUACUAGCUAAGAUUAUGUAUUUUACUUAUGAUUAACUAUAUUUUUCUAACGGAUCAUAAUUCAUAACAGCAGAGGUAUGCAUAUAUAAAAACGUUAGGACUUUUACAAGAAUAAGUAUAAAAAGUUAAACAUUUAUAGAAAUAUAUCUGCUAUUCGAUAUAUUUACAGAAAGUUAUAUGCAAUUUACCCGUAACUUUUAAUAUACUCCUGCUAAUUAAACAGUUGCUGAAAAUUUGUUAAAAAAUAGUCAUUAUAAGUAAGAAACUUUAAUUUAGAACUUCUGAUCGUAUUACAAUAUAAUUUAUUGGCAAGAACUUGUCACGAUUUUAUCAAAUAACUAGCACCCAAAAGGACUAAACAAUGACUUUAUUAAUAUGGACAUCCAAUAUCACACUUUAUUUAUUAGAGUUAAGAAUAAAAGUACGUAGAAAUAUACUUCUCAAUUUUUCAGUGGAUUACAGAAAUUAUAUCUUUAAUCGAACCAGUUCAGCUGAGCACUUCUGGAAGGACAUGUUAUUCCUCAUCUUAGAAGAAGUUUAUUAGUUAGAGAAUGAUAUUCAGUGGGACCUUGGAUGAAACUUAAUAAAAAUGCAAAAUUUGCACUCUCUUGUAACCUUUUAGGUUUGUGCUCCUUUUCACCAUAUGAGAGAGAGAGAGAGAGAGAGAGAGAGAGAGAGAGAGAGCUUCUACUGCUUCACUGGGAAGCUCAAUUUAUGGAACUGCAACCACUGCCACUUUUAUUUCUUUUCCUUACUUUUAUUUUUUUUUAAAAAAAUUUAUUAUUAUUAUUAGGAGGUUGUAGUUGCAACCAUACAACAACUCAUGAAAAGAAGGUAUUAGUAUGUGGGCAUAUGUUCGCUUUUUGUUUCACCUUUUUAUUGUUUGUUGUAUGUAGUAUUUAUAGGAUUGUUGUUAUUGGCCUCUUUGUUUUUAGAUAAGUCAGAUUCACCGCUCAAAUGCGCAAGCAAAGUGCUAACAGAGUGGUUGCACUUGACAGAUAUUAGGCCCAACCCUAUCUUUAAUCUGUAGCAUCUCGUCCUAAUAGAGUAGUUGCGCCUUUCUAAUACCACUGACCCUUGUAAAUAGCGGAGCGAGUUAACAUCAGAAAAAUGCCCGCAUUUCUACAAUGAUGAAAUACCGCUCGACUUAAUAUUUAUGAGGAGAUUAAUGUUUUUUGUUUCAAAUUUCAUUUUGCUUAUUUUCAUCUCAUACAAAUAAAUAUAAUUCACGCAUAAAAACAUAAUAUAGCUAAAAGCUUGAGCCACUAAAAUAGAAUUGGAGUUUUAGGGUCAUAAAUACAAGGAUACAUGCGUUAUUAGUUUGAUCAUCUUCAACUAUUUGAUCCGAUACGGAGUUGCAACUUGAUCCGAUCACCAUCACUUCUUAAUCCGACCGCCAUCGAGUGCUUGUCUUGAUUUGGGAUUAUUGUGUGCUUUCGACGUGCAAUUGAUCAACUAAUGAUGCACAACCAUAUAAUAUACAACCCAAUAAUAAUAAUAAAGUAAAAUUAAUUAUAUUCCAUAACAUUUAUCUCUAAUCUAUUAAGACAUGCAGUUUUUCAAAUAAAAUCGGUUUGUGCAUGCAGACCCAAAACAACCAUCUCUACUACUGAGUUCUUAAUUUAAACAAAUUUAAGAUUACAAAAUUCUGCAUAUAUAUUAUAUAUCAUAUAUCAUAUGUCGAAAUAAAAUAAAUAAGUUGCUAUGAAUGAUCAUCACCCAUACAUCUCUCUUACAUCACAAGCACAAUACAUUACUUUUAAGUAUUUAUAUUAAUCGUUACCAAUGAUUCGAAAAAUAAUAGAUGAUCAAAUCACCAAAACGGACUGAUCUUAUCGAUUGUUUGUGUUAACUAAUCAGUUAAUCAAAUAAUUUUGAUAAAAAAUUUAAUCUAUACAAAUUGCUACUCGAUCUCAUCAAGAAUUCACAUCUCAUGUGAAAAAAAAACAAAAUCUAGAUCCAAAAUUUGAUCUCAUCAAAUUUUAAAAUAAAAUUAGCAUUUUAAAUAAAAUUGAUCUAAUCAAAAUUUUAAAAUUUUAAAAAUAGAAAUAAUAACAAUACGUAAUGCUACAAUAACGAUACGGACUACUACAGUAUCUGUACGGAUACGGACUACUACAGUAUCAUAUAGCAGAUUAAAAAAAUAAUUUUAAAGAAAUUAGUUGAUCAAAAUUUAUGAUUUUCGGAAUAUGGUAAAAUGAUCUGUCAAUCAUUUAAUUCAUGAUAUUUUUUUAUAAUCAAAUAUCAUAACAAAAUUAUGAAUCUAAUUCAUACAUGAAUAACGACGAAGGGCGAUUUAAAAUACUAAAAUCUAUCAUUUUAAUCUUAAUUAAAGUAUGAGAGUGGCUCUGACACCACUUAUGAUCCUUUUUUUUUAAGGGAUAACCUAUUUUAGAACUACUUUAAUUCUAGCACGUUUAAUCUUUUUAACCUUUUAGGCUGAACCACCAGACGAGGAGCACUAGACUACUGUGAAGAAUACAUUUAACUACUUGAGAAUGAUUAAAGAUAUGUCUUUGGCAUUUGGAUUUUAUAUUUGAUGUUGACGAUAAAAAGUCUACGUCAGGAUACUUAUUCUUGUGCAAUGGUGGUGUGGUGUAUAGGAAGAGUUUCAAACAAUCAAUCAUCAUUGAUUCUACCAUAGAAACAAAAUAUAUCGUCGCAUCUGAGGUUAUAAAGUAAGCCUUUUGGUUUAAGAAGUUUAUCGUAAAACUAGGCGUGAUAUCAUUAGAUGCUUUACUACUUUAAUGCAAUAACAAUAGCGCCGUAGCCACAGUUAAGGAGUUAAGAUGUUAUCAGAGGUUCAUGCAUAUAAAGCGGUGAUUUCAUAUUAUAUGUGACUAUCUCGCGAUAAAGUACGUCAAAGUGUAGAGAGUAGUCUUUGCAGAUAAUGUGGCGGGCCCACUAACUAAACUGCCUAGCCAGCAGAAAACUAAAGCCCACCUUGAAAAGAUGGGAUUUAGGUAUAUGGCUAAUUGGAUUUAAUGCAAGUGGGAGAUUGAUAGAUAAAUGCCUAGAAGCCAAACAGGUCGAUACAUGUAUUUUUUUAGGAUACAAUUUUGUUUUUGGUUUUAUUAUACAUGGCGAAUGAAUUUGGAUUUUUUGUUUCUAUUUAUGUUGUGUAUGUGUCCAUGAAUCAUCCAAAAAAUUAAUAAAAUGAUCACGCAUAUUCUCAAGAGUUAAGAAUUUAAGACAUGUGGAUUUUGUGGUUAAUUCCUAAAUGCUUUUGAUUGAUGAACCAUCACGGGAAAAGUGAUUGAUCCAGUGAGAUUAGUACACAGAUCGGUUCCUUUUGGAGUAGAUCAGUCUCGCGUCGACUGUGUGGGGACACUGAAGCUAGCGCAUGCGAAGGUGGUUUGUUAGAGAACAAGGGUAUCGAGCGUGACCAAUACGAGAAGUCACAUGGAUGUCUACUCACUCGUCAGUAACAUAUUCAAUAUUGUAAUAGUAUGACUGGUUCUUUGAUUCGCGGUGUCUUAGCUAUUCACAAUGUGGUUACUAUAGUUUGACUAUAUAUAUAUACGCUUGGUUUUUAGCCAUUUGAGUUCUUGCGAUGCAUAUUGGUUGCAGUAGUCUUAUUGUAAGAAUAGAGUGUUAGUCUUAUAUAAUUUAUGAGACUAAGUUUAGAAAAACUUGGCCAAAGCAAAAUAAAUAACGGAAAAGAUUGGAAUUGAAUUGGAUCUGUAAAAAAGAUCCAAAUCCAAAUUCAAUAAGUUAUUGGAUAUUCCAAAUCUAAGAUACGAGGCUGAGCUUCAAGUAAAUGAGCUAUCUUUACUAUCCAAAUAAUUUGAAUCGGGUUCGGUUCAGAUUCUGAUCGAGUUGAAGGAUUAUCGAUGUCCUUUAACUCGCUUUCUUUGUUUCCUCGAAGAAAGUUUUCUACGUAACAAAUACAAAAACAAUCGUAUCUGAUCAACACCGUUUAAACAAAUCCAUUUUCUUUUUACUAUUAUCUUUAACUUAAAAGUUUGACUUUUUUAUUCUCGUAUAUCGUACUAAUACUUGUAUUUUACAUACAGAACGAUACCAAAACCCUAAAAAAGUUUUUUGAAAAAUUGCUAAUGCGCUGAUAUGCACUGACAUUCGGAAAGGAAGCGAGUUUUUAACAGAUCAGGACGGAUCAAAGAAAGAAAGUGAUCUCCCGUUCUUUUUUUUUGGGCAGAUCGGAGCGGAUUGAGCACGACUUAUAUUUUUUUAUUUUUUUUUUAUUUACCGAUCGAUUCGGAGCGGACCGAGGCAGGAGUCCACCAAUCCGGCAUUAUACUAAAUAAAUAUACAUUAAUAGUUGAUAUAUCUGGUAUCUUUGAUUCAGCGGUUUAAUUUUUGGUAGUAUUGAAAUAUAAGAUUUAAAAAGAAGUGGAUUAAUCUUUUCAGUAGAAAGUACAGACAAGGACCACAAUGAAAAUAUUCGAACAGUUUAGGGACCACUAUUGUCGAACUUCAAAAGUUGUUGAGGACCAAAAUUGAACAAAACCAAAAGUUGGGGGACUAGAAAUGCAAUUUGCCCAAAACUUUUUCACUCCACAGGUUCACAGGUUGUUGCAUAACAUGGAGGACCCCAACAGUAGUAGCUGUCCUUGUUUGCAAAAAUGGGAAAAGAUACGGGGAUGGGUGCAUAUAAUCAUCACCAUCAUAGCUAAUAAUUAAAAAAAAAAGGGGGGGGUCAAAAGGGCCAAAAAAAAAAAGAAAGAAAAAAAAAGGGGGAAAAAGCCAUAUUCCCAUGUUAGCUCAUAAUUGCAACACAUAAUAGGAUACCCUGUAAUAAAUGUUUCUGCAUCUUUUUUGGCCAUUGUGGAAAGAAUCCGAGGCCACAAAAUAAAUUAGAGAAAAUUAAAAGGAGGAUUCUGCAAAAAAAGAAAAAAAGAAAAAAAGAGUCACUUUUUUUUUUCUUUUUUUUUUUUUAAAUAUAUAGUAGUAAGUAUGUAACUACAAUUAAAGCUUUCUCCUACCUAAUUGUUGGUAAUAUAUACAAAAUAAGCUUUUGUUUAGUUAUUUUUUAGGGUAAAUUAUAAGAAAUUUUUAUGUAAAUAUUUUUUUUUAUUUUUUUAUUUUUAAAAUUUUAUAUUUUGUCUUUUUAAAAUUUUAAAAAUAUUUUCGAUGGAGAGAUAUGGCAUUAAUAGAGAGGACAAAAUAACCAAAACAUCCUUACUUCUUUUGUAAGAAAAAAAAAACUUUUUAAUAUAUUUCUGUCAUUUUGAAAGAUAUUCUUGGUACAGAUUAUAAGAAAUGGACGAAAUAGUACUGAAAUUCUGACAGAGAAGGAUCAAAAUACAAAAAUUUAAAAUGUUAAGAGAGUAAAAUAUAGAUUUUUAAAAGUUAGGGAGAAAAAGUGUUGAAAUGGAUACUUAGAAAGAAUUUUUUUUGCAAUUUAGCCUAUUUUUUAAGUUAAAGUUGUUUGUGAAAAACCACUAAUAAUAUAUUAUUUAAUAAUACUAUUCAGAUAACACAUUAUCAAACAAUACUAUACAAUAAGAGACAUGGGGCGUGUUUGCUUGAUAAUAAAUAUUCAUUUUUAUUGUUUGGUUUACUGUAACUCAGUUUUCGAUCGAAACUCAGACUCUCCAAAAUACCAUAGAUGACUUCGGACCGUCAGUUAAAAAAACCAAAAAGAAAAAUAAAAUGAGAAAACAAUAAUAAAAUAUUAAUUAUCUUUUACUUCUCUAGCUUUUAUGUGAUUUCUUUAGUUCUAAAGUUAUACAAAGAAACAACAAAAGUAAAAUAAUUUUUAUUUAAACACUAAUUCAUCAAUAAGCAGGCCUAUAAACUUCUUAAAUAAAUUUUAAAAAAAUUCUAAAGGGAAUAAUUGCCAACAUGGUAAACCAGGCCCUCACAUAUUACCAAACCCUACAAAAAAACACACACUCAUGCAUAGUUUUUUUUUUUUUUUUUUUUUUUUUUUUUUUUUUUUUUUAUAAAAAGAGUUUAAGUUAUUUAUAGAAACUUUACUUUAUAAUAUAAGUUAUAAUAUUACUACUCAAAUAAUAUUAGACUUAUAGUUAUAAUAUCACUACUCAAACAAUACAGGAGAAGAUGUGCAUUCGGUCUGGAAUAGAUGGAUAGAAAGGCGGGGUCUCAACCAAAAUUUAUUUGUCUUAUUAGACUUGUAGCCUGCUGAUGGGUUAUUUGGGAUAUUAGGAAUAGAGCGAUUUUCAGAAUAACCUACACAGACCCGACCCUCGAAAUCUACAAGAUUAAUCAGCUGACGAACCUAUGGGAGAAACUCAGUCCAGUGGAGCGACAUAACAGUAAUCAAUAGUGUUGGCCAGUGUCGGCCAGUGUGUGUUGGCCUAAUCUUUUUUUUUUCUCGCCACCUUUUGAGAUUUGUGAUGCCUCACCCAUAUUGCUUAAUUUACUAUUUGAAUAAAUGAAACAAAUAGCGUGCUAUAUUUUUCUUAAAAAAAAUAUUUUAUUGAAUAAUACUGUACUGUCUAACGCACUGGAUGAGUCUGUUCGUGGUGUCUACACAGUUCUUAGAAAGGAAAAGAAAAUUUUUAAAAAAUAAAAAAUUCAUCAUCAAGUGCCAACAUGGUAGACCAUGUCCACCCAAAUUACCAAACUCCCAACAAAACAUUUAUAAAAAUGUGGGCCCCACUUCCCCCACCCCCUCUUUUGUAAAAAAGUGAACUCAAAUACACAAACACAAACACAAACACAAAAUACACACACACACACACACACACACACUCUCUCUCUCUCUCUCUCUCUCUCUCUCUCUCUCAAUUUAACUCUCCCAACCCCCAUCCUCACUACCUCCUUCUCACUACACUACAAAAAAAAUCCCCCAAACUCUCUCUCUCUCUCUCUCUCUCUCUCUCUCUCUUUGUAGCUCCUCCAAACCCAAAACCCUAAAAAAAAAAAAAAAAGAAAAGAAAAGGGAAAAAAAAAGGGGAAAAAAAAAUGGUGUUGUUGUGUAUAUGCUCUGUUUUGAUUCCCUUCGUCCAAACCUAAGAAGAGAAGAGCUAAACCCCACCCUCUCCUUGUAACCUCCACCUCCACCUCCACCUCCACCUCCACAGCAACAACAAGAAACCCUAAUUAAUCCCUCUUUAUAUCUUUUUAUAUCUCUCUCUCUCUCUCUCACGGGCAUUUCCGCAAACACCUUUGGAGGAGGAGGAGGCAUGGCGGAGAACCCGAGCAUCAGGGAGACGCUGGAGCGGGGGGAGGAGGAGACGUACAAGGGGCUCGAGGCGCCCCCGUCCAUGGCGGCGGCGGGGGCGGGGGCGGAGCGGGAGCGGAGGAGGAAGGUGGCGUACGGAGGAAGGGGUGGGGGUGGGGGUGGUGUGGGGGACUACGCGGUGGGGGUCGGCGUCGGGGUCGGGGUGGUGGUGGCGGAGGACCCCCCGGCGAGGAUCGAGCUCGUGGGGUGGUACGCCUACGCCGUGUGCUCCUUCUUCGUCCUCGCCGUGCUCGUCCCCGUCCUCUUCCCCCUCAUCAUCGCCCAAAUCGCCUCCUCCUCCGACUCCCCCUCCACCACCGCCACCACCACCAUGAGAGGCGUUUCGUGCUCCGCCAAGGAGAUGGCGCUGUGAGUACUCUCCUCCUCCUCCUCCUCCUCCUCCUCCUCCUCCCUCUCCUUUCUAGGGUUUCGCUUCUCGUCCUCCUCCUCCUCCUCCAUGUCCUUUCUAGGGUUUCGCUUCUCGUCCUCCUCGUCCUCCUCCCUCUCCUUUCUAGGGUUUCGCUUCUCGUCCUCCUCCUCCUCCAUGUCCUUUCUAGGGUUUUGUUUCUCCUAGGUUUUUGUUCUAGGGUUUUUGGUAGUUGGAAAGUGUACGAAUGGUCCCUGUAGUAUCUCGAUAUUGCGAUUUGGUCCGUAGAACCCUUUUUUUUAUUUUUUUUAACUUGAAUACUUUGUGGAUCUCUAUUAAAUUUGCAAAUUACUCCCUAUUUUUGGGGGAAAAAAAAAUCUGUUUUUUUACUUUUACAAUUUGGUAUUUCAAAUCUUUUUUGUAAAUUUUUUUUUAGGAUUUUGUAGUUGGAAACUGUACGAAUGGUCCCUAUAGUAUCUCGAUAUUGCGAUUUAAUCCUUGGAACCCCGCUCUCUUAAUAACUUGAGCACUUUGUGAGUCUCUAGUAGUUUGCAAGUUAGUACAGUUAAAAGUAUAUGGUCCUUAUAGUAUCUCGAUAUUGCGAUUUGGUCCGUGGAACCUCUUUUUUUUUUUUUCUUGACUUGAACACUUUGUGAGUCUCUAUUAGAUUUGCAAAUUACUCUCUAUUUUUGGGGGGAAAAAAAUUUCACUUUUAUAAUUUGAUAUUUCAAACCUUUUUUGUAAAUCUUUUUCAGGAUUUUGUAGUUGGAAAGUGUACAAAUGGUCCCUAUAGUAUCUCGAUAUUGCGAUUUGGUCUGUAGAACCUCUUUUUUUUUUUUUUUUUAACUUGAACACUUUGUGGAUCUCUAUUAGAUUUGCAAAUUACUCCCUAUAUAACGGUUCUUGUAAUUUUUUUUAGGAUUUUGUUGUUGGAAACUGUACGCAUGGUCCCUGUAGUAUCUCGAUAUUGCGAUUUGGUCCUUGGAACCUCUCCCUCUCUAUCUUAAUUUCUUGAAUACGAGUUUGCAAGUUAGUCCCUACUAGUUGAAAAAAAAAAUCCGUAUUAUUUCGACAAUUUGAUCUCGCUAGUUUUUUUUUAAAAAAAAUUUCGGUGUUUUGUAGUUGUAAAGUAUAUGAAUGGUCCUUUUACUUUCUCGAUAUUGCGAUUUGGUCCUUGGAACCUUUUUCUUUUUUUUUUUUGGAACUCUAACACUUCGUGAGACUCUAUUACUUUGCAAGUUAGUCCCUGUUUUUUGUUGGAAAUAAAAAAAUAUUUCCGUUUUAGUUCUACAAUUUGAUAUUACUAGAUUUUUUUUUGAAAAAAGAUAUGUUAGCGUUUUGUAGUUGUAAAGUGUAUGAAUGGUACCUGUAGUAUCUGGAUAUUGCGAUUUGGUCAUUGGAACUCUUUUUUCUUUUUCUUUUUUUUUUCCUUCAACAUUUUAUUUACUUUCCUACAACUAGAAUAAUUUGGAAAAAAAAAAUCUUAUUCUUUUCCUGUAAAAUCCCUCUUUUUUUUGUAGUUAUUAUGAAUUGUAUGAACGGUCCCUGUACAAUAUCGAUGUUGUAACUAGGUCAUUAAAUUUUCCCUUUUUUUGUUUACAUGCACACUUUGCGCCUCUAUUAUUUUGCAACUUUAUCCCUGUUUCUUGUAAAAAUGUAUUUUUAGGGGUAAACUUGAAAGAAAAAUCUUACCAAAGUCCCUUUUUCCCUCUUCCUUUUUAGGGUUUCGUAGAUGUAAACUGUAUGAACGCGCCCUGUAGUAUCUUGAUAUUGUGAUUCGGUCCUUGAAACUUUUGAAAAAAAAAAAAAUCCGAACACUUCUUGAGUCUAUCAUUUUUAGGAUUUUUUUUCCUUUUGUUUGAGCUGAGUAAAACGUCUCUGAAUGGUCCCUGAACUAUUUCUAUAUUGCAACAUAGUCCCAAACUGAGCACUGUUUGUUGAAAAAAAAAAAAACUAUUACUUCUCCUCCUACAAUACGAUUUAUUUUUUGGGAAAUUGUAGUUUACUUUUAAUUAAGGUUCAAUAUGGUUGAAAAUGGUUUUUUUCCCCCCUUUAACAGUAGGAAUUUUAAAUUUUAAUUUAAGGGUCCUCUUAUAGUCCCUGUUUUUCUUUUUAUUUUUUUUUUUACCUGAUAAAAAUAUUUCUUGAACUUUUUUACAUAUAUUAAAAUUACUCUAUAAGUGUUGAAAAUAUUGUCUCUUUUUGUAAAUCUCUAGUACAAUAUCAUUUGUUUUCUCUGUUUGAGUUUUUACUUAAACAGGAUAAUGGUCUCUCUUUUUUUUUUUUAUAACUAUAAAAAGAUACUUUUGUUUUUUUACAGUAUUUGUACUUUGUCGGGACGGGGUUGUAAUUAAAACAAAGUUCAGGGACUAAGCUGCUUACAAGUUCACGUGCUCUGCGUACACACAUUUUUUUGCUCCGUUAAUUUUGUUGGUGAUUUUUUAUUUUUAUUUUUUACACAUUACAUAGUUUUUGUCGUUUUCUCCGUUGGUACGUGCUUGAUUAUGUUUGACUGCAAAAUACCGAAUAUACCCUGAGAGUGUUAUAUAUGGUUAUCUGAUCCCAAAUUCAAAUUUGAGGGGCAUAAAGGUAAAUUCACAUGUUACUGACACACCGACACCACUCACCUGCUAAUUACUGUAGCAUUAAUAAGUGCCACAGAACAUGUUGUAAUGGGGGACACUUUGGGGUACAAUUUGGUGUACGCAUAGCAGAGUUAGUAAUAAAUUUUCUUUUUCAUAAUAUUGCCUUUUUUUUUAUUUAUUAUUUUUACCCAUAGCGUCGAUUUCUAUAAAUUUAUAAAUUUAGAUAAUGUGUAUUAACUAAUGAGUUAAUUAAUUAGCUUAAUUAAUUAGUUUAAUUAAAUUAAAGCAACUGCGCAAAAAAGCGUGCAUAAAAAGCAUAAAAAGCGUGUCCUUCAUUAUUAACUGCCCUUUUCUCCUGGGAAAUUGUGUGGCACAACAGCUGUAACCCAUUAAAAACUUUCAGGGGUAGAAUAGUAAUUUCACUUUGCCUUGUACUUUUUUGGAUUAUUUGGCUUUUUCCUAAUAAUAAUAUUAAAAAAAUGUAGUUUUCUAACUACAAAAUUAUAUAUAUUUUUUAUUAGUUUGGUUCCUAGGCAACAAAAAAAAAAAAGGUUUUCUAUUUUAUUUUUUUUUCAAGUUUUGUACAAAUUUUGGUUGAUAUUUAUAGCUUUCAGAAAAAAUAAUUUUUUUUUUUUUUUAAAUCUUCAGAUUUCAUAAAAGAUUCUGCCUUUUGUUUUUAGAAUUAUUAUUUUAUCUGAAAAACAAAACCUAUGAAAAGAGUAUUUUCUAUGAGAGUUUGUUUUUUCCGGAAAUAGUUAUCCAUAAUUUGUUUUGGGGAGACCGAAAAAUUAAUAUGAUUUAUAAGUAAUUUUUCGCAUAAAAUCGGUAAACCGAAUUUCACAUAAAUUGUUAUUGGGAUCCCUUGAAUCAGCUAAUUUUCUCAGGAUUUUUUUUUUCUUUUUGGUUGAGAAUGUAUGUCUCGACGAAAUAUUUGUUCCUUAACACUCUCCCGGCUUUUAUUUAUUUUGAUUCGAGUAAUUUUCACCAUAUGAACUUGGGGGAGCUUGUUAAGUUUGAUGUGAUUUCGCUAUGUUUAAUGGCGGGUUUGAUUCGCAGUUAACGGCCGGUAGCUAAUGCGCAACAAUGAUUAUUCGAUAUUAUUAGUUUUAUGUUGUAAUUUAUUCGAAUACCUUUCUUCUUUGUGGUUUUAGUUGUUUUUAAGGUAAAGAUUAUGAUAUAUAUAUAUAUCCAUGUUUACGAUAUGUUACUGUUUUAUUUGAAAUAGCGUGUUUUUGUGGUUUUUGUUGUUUUUAAGUUUACGAUUAUGAUACAUGCAUGUUUACGAUAUGUUAUUGUUAAUGCGAUUGCUAAUGUACGUAAUCAUGCAUUGUCGUCCAUCUCUUCGUAUUUGUUCGAUAUUAUCAGUAUUUUGUUGUAAUUUAUUCAAAUAGCUUUUUAUGUGGCUUUUGUUGUUUUUAUGGUAAAGAUUAUGAUAUAUCCAUGUUUACGAUAUUUUACUGUUAAUGCAAUUGCUAACAUACGUAAUCAUUGUCGUCUAUCUCAUCCUAUUAUUUGAUAUUAUUAGCAUUAUGUUGUAAUUUAUUCGAAUAGCUUUUUUUGUGGUUUUUGUUGUUUUUAAGGUAAAGAUUAUGAUGAACUCAUGUUUACGGUAUGCUAUUGCUAACGUGAUUCUGUGAUUUAAAAAAAAAAAACAGGUAUCAGAGGUUGGUGAAGCACUCGAUCGACGUCGGCGGCUCGCGGUUCUCUGCGCUGCAUUGGACGGUGAUCUCGUGGGCAGCGGGCGUCAUCGCCGUAGCGCCGCUGCUCCCGCAGGUCGCCCACCAGCUCGACCGCGGCCACCACCAAUCCCUGCUCCUCAUCGCGGCCAUCACCUUCGGCGCCUUCUUCUGCCUCCUCACCGGCUUCUUCAAGACCGCCUGGCUCUUCCCCUUCUACAUCAUCUUCAUCGUCUCCGCCAUCACCGUCUCUGACUCCGCCCACUCCCGCUACCUCGCCCUCAUGCUCCGCGGCCUCACCGCCAGCUCCUCCGGCCGCCACCUCUCCCUCCGCCGCCGCGCCGCGGGCGGCCAGCUCUCCCUCUACUCCACCGCCGCGGGGAGCCUCGGCGCUGCCGUCAUCGCCGCCUUCGUCUACCACAUGCUCCGCCGCUCCGACCAGCUGACCGGCCUCUGGGUCGUCUCCAUCUUCAGCGGCCUCAUCUGGUUCAUCGCCAUCUGCCACGGCCUCUUCUCCAACCGGCCGGCCUCGUCCAUCUCCUCGUCCCCCUCCCCGUCGUCGCCGCCGUCGCUGGCGCACAACAUGUUCGACAAGGUAUCGCACGCGCUAGCCGUGUUCAGCUACCCGCACGCGGUCGGCAGCCUCGCCGCCGUCUUCCUCUCGUCGUUCUCGACGAUGUGCAUCUUCACCGCCGGCAUUCUGUACAUCAUCGGCGGCCUAUGCAUCAAGCCCGUCAUGAUCCUAUCCUUCUUGAUCAUCUACUUUGCGUUCCCGGUCCUGUCGCUCCCCGGAAUCCACGCCCUGCAGCUGCUCCUCCGCACGGACGCGGUGCGGAUGCAGCUCCUGGGGUUCCUCCUCUGCGCGUUCGUCUCCGGCGCGGGGUUCUACUUCAAGGACCGGAGGUGGCGGGCGGCGCACGUCAUCCUCGUCGGGCUCGUCCAGAGCACCGCGGCCGGGGCGCUCCACGCGUUCGGCCGGGUCCUGCUGCUGGACUGCGCCCCGCCGGGGAAGGAGGGCGCGUUCGCGGCCUGGCUGGCGUGGGCGCGGGCGGCGGGGGCCGGGGUGGGGUUCGCGGUCGGGUCGGCGUCCCCCGGCCGCAUCGGCGCCGCCUUCGGGGCCGCCUUCCUCGCGAGCCUCCUUGGGGGCCUGGUGCUCGUCUUCGGGAGCGUGAGCGACGAGGGCGCGUUGGUCGCGGCCGGGCACGUGCGCAAGGAGGAGUUGGAGUAUGAGAGGAAGAUGGUGGGGGAGGAGGGGAUGAGUGGGAUUGGCUUGAGCUCAAAUUCUGGGGAGGAUAGAGAAGGGUACAUUGGUAGAGUGAGAGUAUGAUGAUGAUGAUGAUGAUGAUGAUGAUGAUGCUUCUUAAUGCUGAUGAUGAUUUAAUUUUACAUAUAUGUUUGUGAGAAAUUUAAUCAAUGGUGGUGGUGGUGGUGGUGGUGGUGGUGGUGUGGGUGCUUGUUAAUUUUAAUUUUAAUUAUUAUUAUUAUUAUUAUUAUGAUCUCACUUUUCACUCUCUAGAAAUGGUGUUUAAUUUGAGUAGGAAUUGGUUGUAGUUCAUUCAUUUGUUUGAGAUAAUUGUAACUGACAAUGUUUGUUUUGUUGUUUGUUGUUGUUAAGUGACUGUAACUCUGUGUGGGUGGUUUUUUCUUCUUCUUCUUCCUUCUUUUUUUNUUUUUUUUUUUUUUUUUUUUUUUUGCUAUUUUGUUUGUUGUUAGUUGUUUAUGUUAAAUGAAAUGAAAUGUCCAGUAUCUAGUUCUUGUCCUUUUUUUUUUUAUUUUGUUCUUUGUGGAGGACAAAUGAACUCUUGAUGUAAUUGCUUUGAAGUGGAUGUGGAUAAUGGAUUUUUUUUUUUCUAUGAUGUUGGUGUUUCGAUGCCUACUAUGUGUCUGUUUGGCUCCACUUUUGUUUUACGAUGUUGGUGUUUCGAUGUGUGCUAUGUUAGGUAUUUUUUCAGUCUUAUUGAAGAAAAGGUUUUGUGAACUCACGGAUUAAGCAGGUAUAAAGUUUAACAUCUUGUAUAAAUUUCAUUCAGGUUUCUGUAAAUAUAGUGAAUGGUAAAUAUAUUUUUAUAAAACUUAAUUUUUAUAUAUUGAUCUUGCAAAAGUUUUGAUAUUUUUAAAUAUAUUUUUGCCGCUAGAAUCCGUUAGAAAAAUUUAAUUAAUCAUAGAUUAAAUAGUUAACUAUGAUUAAUUUCUGAUAUUUUUAUUCUUCUUAUAUUAUACUGUUAUAAUUUUUUGAGAAAUAUUUGUAAUGGCAAAAUUAAAAAGAUAAAUAGUUUUUUAACAGUUCGCCAACGGUAAUGAACCAGAGGGACAUAUUUGAAAACAUUAAGACUUUCGUAGGAACGAUAUAUAAAAAUUAAAUUUUUUAAGAAUAUAUUUAUCAUUCACUAUGUUUGUAGAGAUCUAUAUGAAAUUAACCCUUACAUCUAUAUAUAGAGCAUAUAGAUAGUUUUUUUUUUUUAAUGAUCAAUUGUUCAACAAAGUAGGUAUCUUGUUACCAUUCACUCUCAUUUUAAAUCUGUCUGAAUAUUUAGACUAUGAUUAAAAUUUUCAUCUACAAAAUAUUAUAUAUAUAUUUUAAAUAUAUUAAAAAUAUAGAGUGGGCUGGUAUGCUUCUGGAAGCACGGAGCCCUCCGUGCUUCCAAGUUGUUUUCGAUGUUCGGACUUUCGAAUCGACGAUCGGCUCCGUUAGACUUGAUCUAGAGUAUUUGAAGUACCUAAAAAAUAAAUUUUGUAAUUUUUCGAUAUCAUUUGCCUAGUGAUCGAAGGAGCUCAAAAUCAAUAAUUUUAACGGCUGUGGUGAGCCGUUUGCAAGUUUAACGGUGUAGAAAUAUUCAAAUCACAUGAAAUUUUGAUAGAAAAUUCUUUAUACCAUAUAAAACAAGAUCAAUAACUUUGAUCUAAAAUUUUAAUGUUAUAUCAUCAUAUUUUGUAAGAUUUUUAUUUUCAGCCGUUGACUUUGAGCCACUUCGAUCACUAGGCAAAUGAUAUCGAAAAAUCGUAAAAUUUAUUUUCUAGAUACUUCAAAUACUCUAAAUCAAGUCUAACGGAGCCGAUCGUCGAUUCGAAAGUCCGAACAUCGAAAACAACUUGAAAGCACGGAGUGCUCCGUGCUUCCAGAAGCAUACCAGACGCACUCUAAAAAUAUAUUAAAUAAAAUAUUUAUGCAUGUAAAUAAAAUUUUAAUAUAUUUACAAUAUAUUUUACAAACACUAUUGUACAGCAAUAGUUGACGCAAACCUUGGAUGCUUCAGUUUUCUGUUUAGAGUGUCAGAAAAUAUAUUAUUAUUUUAUUCAACUCCACUUGCAACACUAGUAGCAAUAAAAAUAAUAAACACUAAAUAUAUUAAAAAAUAAUAAAAAAGAUAAUCCUUACUAUAGUUUAACCUAUACUUAUCUACAUUGGGAACCAAAAAAAAAAAAAAUUGAAAAAUGUAAUAAAACAUCAUUACAUCCACGAGCAUCUAUUAGGGCCCUUUCCUUUUUUCCUUUUUUUUAUUUCUUUUCCUAAUUUAUUAUAAUUUUGGACGACAAUGUUAUUAACAGAGCUAAUUUUACUAGUAACAAAAAUAAUUUUUGCUAUUAUUGAGUAAUUACUUACUAUUCUGUGACGAAUUUGGUCAAAUUCAUCAAUUGUAUAAACUUUUUUAAUAUUUUUUUUUUUUACAAAAUAUAAUGUUUAAUCUAUCUUUCAAUGAUAGCUGAAUUUUUAUAUUUUUGCAUGAUUAAAUUUCAAGUUUUUAUUCAUCUCAGUAAACUAUUAUAAAAUUUUUAAAAAAAUUGCUCCCGUAGUCAGAUCAAUACGAGUCCUAUUUAGGUGGAAUCAAUAAACAUAUUUUUCGAAGAAGCUAAGGGCUCGAGCGUUGUGUUUAAUAAACGAACUAGCGAGUGAUCGAACUUUCGACCUGUGAGCCGAUAAUUUGAUUAAAAUAACACAAAUUAAUCUAAUAGCUGUUAAUGUACAUAGAUUAAGUUUGUACUUUUUUUCUUUUUUUUUUUUGCCACCAUAUAUUAAUUUCACUUGGUUUUUUUUAAAAAAAUUUUUAUUUCACUUGGUUGUAGAUGAUAUGAAAAAAAAAAAAAAAAAAAAAAAAAAAAAAAAAAAAAAAACAUGGGCACUACACUGGCCAGCUUUAAAACUCGUGCAGUGGACCUCGAAAGUCGUAAAAAGUACGCGAAUUCCAAGGGGCCUUAUUUUGUUUUGUUGUGCCUAAUAAUAUAAAGGCCAAAUUGGAGAAAAUUUUUGUGUGAAUAUUUAUUUUUUUUUUAUUUUUGCUUUUAAAAAAUUUAUGUAUUUUGCUAAGUUUAAAAUUUUAAAAAUAAUUUUAGGAGGUGAUAACGUUAACGGUCGGAACGAAAUAAUCAAAUUAUCCUUACUUAUUUUAUACGAAAAAAAAUAAAUUUUAAUAUAUUUCUAUCAUUUUUAAUAAUAUUUUCAGAUGUAAAAUAUAAAAAAUAGACGGAAUAAUGAGAAGAAUUUUGAGGAAUAAAAUGUAGAUUUUUGAAAGUCAGAAAAAAAAAUAGAAAAAGGAUACUUAUAGAAAAUUUAGUGUAUUUUAAUCUAAUAAAAAUAUGGACUAAACUUCAAUUUGCCUCCUACGGUUUGGCACAUUUUUACUUAGUUUAGUAACUACACUAAUAAUUUUAUUUUUAUUUUAUGAAAAAAAUUUGUGGUCCAAUAGAAUAGUGAAAUGAUAUUUUUUGAAAAUAACAAGAUAAUACCCUAAAAAGAAAACUGUAAGAUGAUUAAUAUAACUUUUUAAACCAUAGAGUACUGAAGCGUAAAAGUUUGAAUCAAGUGGUAGCAAAGUGAAAAUAUUCUAAACUAUUGUGAAGUAAAUUAAUGUUAAGGAAAAUAUUUCUUGUACACCCCGAUAAGGGGGUGUAUAUCUUACACCUGUAAAUUUAGAAUUGAUAAAAAUUGAAAUAAUUUUUAGUAAAAUUUAAAAAAAUUAAUGUGACAAAAAUGAUUUUAGGAUUAGGGAUGCAAACGGAUCCGGGUCGAUGGAGCUCCCGCCACGAACUACCCCCAGUAGAUAAAAAAAUAUAACUCGUCCCGAAUCUGUCCUAAUCCGCCAAGUAAAUAAAGUAGGAGGCGGGAGGCGGGAGGCUCUUUUCUUCCUUUAAUCCGUCUCGAUCCGUAAAAAAUUCGCCAAAAAUUCACUUCCGUCCGCCCUGAAUGAAGCGGUAGGUAGAAGUCAAAAAUAAAAUAAAAAAUAACCCAUCCCGACAAAAAAUUGAGCGGAAGGUGAGGGAACUGUUCCGCCCUCGGAUCCGCCCCGUUUACAUCCUAAGUUAGGAUAAAGUAAAUGCGAGACGUAUAUUUUAUUUUAGAAUGUACCUGUAUUACUCCUACCAUAAAUAUAUAUACGAUUUUUUUUUUUUUUUUUUUUCAUGCAACGGUAACUUUGGGUCUUCGCAUUGGUUUGACUUUUUUGCUUAAGCAACGGCCCUCAUUUUGAAUCUUAACGGUCGCAUGACCGUUUCCUCUUUUUCCUUUUUUUUUUCUUUUAAAAAAAAAAAAAAAAAAACCUUGGGUUAGGGUUUAGUAUACAUUUAUUUAUAUUUAUUACUAACUCUGGUGCUCUCAUUGGGCCCAAUUUGUCACGCCACUUUAAUAAGUGGUUCCAACAUGUCGCAUUCACAUCCACGUUUGUAACUUUUGCUUUUGGGUUCAUUAUGCUUUCGAUUCGAUUCGAUUCUCAAACUAUGAGGCGCAUGAUAUUUUAAUUUUUAAAUUUUAAAUUUUACUUUACUGUAAAUUUUUUAUUUGAUUUUUUAAAAUUAUUGUAAUCAAAUUUUACGAUCCGAUUUAGUUGAUUAUAUGCUGAUGUUUCGUUAAUGUGAAAGUGAUUUUAGUUAUCCCGAGGUGGCUUGGGAUUAACCAUUCCACGCUUUUUAUUUGGAACCGUGCGAGUUCAAGGUUUAAUUCUAAGUUUUAUUAAGAUUAUAAGUUGAAUUAAAAUAAAUUAUAUAGACAUAAUAUAUGCAAUAAAUUAUUUUUAUUAUAAAAAUUAUUAACUAUAUUAAUACAUAUCAUUUGUACUACUUAAAUAUUAUAAUAAAUUGCUUUUAUUAAAGUUAAAGUAAAAUUAUUUUUAAAAAAUAAUAUUAUAGUUCAAAUAUUCUUUUAUGUAAUAUAUUUUAUAUCAAAUUUAUUAAUUCAACCAUCACUUUUUUUCUAUUAUUUUCUGACUAUUUCAUAAAAUUAAGGAAACACAAUUUCAGUUAUUCUUGAAAAUAGCAAUAUUAUAAAUAAAAUAUAAUUUUUAUUUUUAUUCCUAACUUUUUUAAAAUAAUAAAUAAUUUAUUUAAAUAUUCGUUAUAUUACUUUCCUUUUUUGCCCUUGCUAAUUUGGAUAGGUGGGAAUUAAAUUCAACUUUGUAAAGUAAAAAAAAAAAAAAAAAAGCACAAAAGGGCCUAGAUUUUCCCGCCAAAAUUAAUUCCUCUUCAACCACUUUUUCUAACUUUUUGUUAACAAAAUUCAUGUAGUAGGAUAAAGAGUCCACCAACUUUAUGAGAGAUAAAAAAAAAAAAAAAAAGAGUAAAAGCUCAAAAAGAGAGAAAAAAAAAAGAAAAAGAGAUUCAUGCAAAUUGCAGCAAAAAGAUAUAUAAUAUUAUAAAUAACAAAGCUUUAAUUGAUUAUAUUAUAAGCCUCUCCUUUGACUCAAUCAAUCAAUUAGACCUUUGGAAAAUUAAGAGUUAGGUUUAAGUCACUAGAUAAAAUAAGCAUUGUAGAUAUAUUAAAUUUAAGACUACGUAUACACUGUUUUUUAUCGGAUCGAUCAUUUGGAGGACACAGAUAUUUGAGUUCAACUGAAACCAUGAGCCAUUAUGCGAGGUUAUCAAUUUAAGUCUCCCAGUCGUGAUUUAGGCUUAGUUUGGUAUUGAGGUCAAUCUAACGCUAUUAGAUAAAAUGGAGUUGAGAAAAAGCAUUCAGAGAUAUGCUUCUGCGUUCUCCGAUGAGACCGCAGAAAAUAUAUCGUUAACCGGCUAACCGCAAUAUGCGAAACGUAAUAUUACGUACGAAAACAAACAGGGUAUUUUCCCAUCGUCGUUUCUUACCGCACGUAACGCAAUCUUUCCGCAAUCCCAAACGAAGUCUUAGGCUUAGUUUGGUAUUGAGGUCUAUCUAACGCUAUUAGAUAAAAUGGAGUUGAGGAAAAAGCAUAUAGGAAUAUGAUUCUGCGUUCUCCGGUGGGACCACACGAUAUGCGGAACGCAAUAUUACGUACGGAAACAAACAAAAUAUUUUUCCAUCGUCGUUUCUCACCGCACGUAACGCAAUCUCUCCGCAAUCCCAAACGUAGCCUUAGUAAGUUAACAUCCACAAUUUUACGCAGGUAAAAGGGAUUAUUAAAAUUAUUUUGUUUUACAUUAUUUCUGUCCGAUCGAUAUUUUAGAUAACAUAGAGAUUUAGAUCUUUUAUUUAGUUGGCUCAUUUUGUCCCCACAAUAACAUUAAUUACCUGUAGUGAUUUAUCAUAGUAUUUCUAGAAGAGAUAUAAAACUAAUUGUUGAAUUUUAAUGGUGUGUGUGUCUCUAGAAUUUUUUUUUUUUUUUUUUUUUUUUUUUAAAUUUUUUUUUUUUUUUUUUUUUUUUGUUUUUCGUAUGUUUUAGGGUUUUGAUCCUUUGCUUUUUGGUUUUGAGNAAAAAAAAAAAAAAAAAACCUUGGGUUAGGGUUUAGUAUACAUUUAUUUAUAUUUAUUACUAACUCUGGUGCUCUCAUUGGGCCCAAUUUGUCACGCCACUUUAAUAAGUGGUUCCAACAUGUCGCAUUCACAUCCACGUUUGUAACUUUUGCUUUUGGGUUCAUUAUGCUUUCGAUUCGAUUCGAUUCUCAAACUAUGAGGCGCAUGAUAUUUUAAUUUUUAAAUUUUAAAUUUUACUUUACUGUAAAUUUUUUAUUUGAUUUUUUAAAAUUAUUGUAAUCAAAUUUUACGAUCCGAUUUAGUUGAUUAUAUGCUGAUGUUUCGUUAAUGUGAAAGUGAUUUUAGUUAUCCCGAGGUGGCUUGGGAUUAACCAUUCCACGCUUUUUAUUUGGAACCGUGCGAGUUCAAGGUUUAAUUCUAAGUUUUAUUAAGAUUAUAAGUUGAAUUAAAAUAAAUUAUAUAGACAUAAUAUAUGCAAUAAAUUAUUUUUAUUAUAAAAAUUAUUAACUAUAUUAAUACAUAUCAUUUGUACUACUUAAAUAUUAUAAUAAAUUGCUUUUAUUAAAGUUAAAGUAAAAUUAUUUUUAAAAAAUAAUAUUAUAGUUCAAAUAUUCUUUUAUGUAAUAUAUUUUAUAUCAAAUUUAUUAAUUCAACCAUCACUUUUUUUCUAUUAUUUUCUGACUAUUUCAUAAAAUUAAGGAAACACAAUUUCAGUUAUUCUUGAAAAUAGCAAUAUUAUAAAUAAAAUAUAAUUUUUAUUUUUAUUCCUAACUUUUUUAAAAUAAUAAAUAAUUUAUUUAAAUAUUCGUUAUAUUACUUUCCUUUUUUGCCCUUGCUAAUUUGGAUAGGUGGGAAUUAAAUUCAACUUUGUAAAGUAAAAAAAAAAAAAAAAAAGCACAAAAGGGCCUAGAUUUUCCCGCCAAAAUUAAUUCCUCUUCAACCACUUUUUCUAACUUUUUGUUAACAAAAUUCAUGUAGUAGGAUAAAGAGUCCACCAACUUUAUGAGAGGAAAAAAAAAAAAAAAAAAGAGNNNNNNNNNNNNNNNNNNNNNNNNNNNNNNNNNNNNNNNNNNNNNNNNNNNNNNNNNNNNNNNNNNNNNNNNNNNNNNNNNNNNNNNNNNNNNNNNNNNNNNNNNNNNNNNNNNNNNNNNNNNNNNNNNNNNNNNNNNNNNNNNNNNNNNNNNNNNNNNNNNNNNNNNNNNNNNNNNNNNNNNNNNNNNNNNNNNNNNNNNNNNNNNNNNNNNNNNNNNNNNNNNNNNNNNNNNNNNNNNNNNNNNNNNNNNNNNNNNNNNNNNNNNNNNNNNNNNNNNNNNNNNNNNNNNNNNNNNNNNNNNNNNNNNNNNNNNNNNNNNNNNNNNNNNNNNNNNNNNNNNNNNNNNNNNNNNNNNNNNNNNNNNNNNNNNNNNNNNNNNNNNNNNNNNNNNNNNNNNNNNNNNNNNNNNNNNNNNNNNNNNNNNNNNNNNNNNNNNNNNNNNNNNNNNNNNNNNNNNNNNNNNNNNNNNNNNNNNNNNNNNNNNNNNNNNNNNNNNNNNNNNNNNNNNNNNNNNNNNNNNNNNNNNNNNNNNNNNNNNNNNNNNNNNNNNNNNNNNNNNNNNNNNNNNNNNNNNNNNNNNNNNNNNNNNNNNNNNNNNNNNNNNNNNNNNNNNNNNNNNNNNNNNNNNNNNNNNNNNNNNNNNNNNNNNNNNNNNNNNNNNNNNNNNNNNNNNNNNNNNNNNNNNNNNNNNNNNNAUUUUUUUUUUUUUUUUUUUUUUUUUUGUUUAAAGAUCUCUUUUGGGAUUUUAAAUUGGAAAGCUUCUAGAUUCUUCUAGCCCCUGACUGAAGAAACAUGUAGAGAGAGAAAGCUUUAAACAUGCUAAAAAAAGAGAUCUUUUUUUUUUAAUCUCCAUUGGAACAAAAUGAUGAGCCUAUUCAUCUACAAUAUAGAGCUAGGGCUUUAAUCCUACCAAACCCUAGAAAAGUCAUAGUUUGAAGGGGAAUUUAUGCACUUAUUACACUCACACUUGUUGCUUUGGGGGGAAAAGCAAAAGAAGAAUAAAGUGGAGAUGGAAACAACACUAGAGAGGUUUAGGCAUGUCAUUUAUUAACUUUAAUGAUAAUAAGCUAAUCAUCUUGCAAUUCAUCAACUCCAUGCAAGAGUACAUAGGCCCUUAAAUAUAAAAAAAAAAUAUAUGUAUAUAAAAACUCCAUUCACUAAAAACAUCUUAAAUUUUUAGUAAACAACGAUUGUUUUAUUUAAUUUAAUAUGAUAUUAGACAAACGAUUCUGAGCUCGAAUCCUCCUAUUUAAUUUAAAUUUACGUCUUAAACCUAUCAAAAUCUCUCGAGUCUAGAUGUGGGGGGAGCACGGUUGAAUAUAAAUAACGUCCUUUGCUAAUUUAAGUUUUUGAAGAAAAUAAUUGUUGCGGAUUAUUUAGGAUAGGCCUAGUUUGGGAGAGCAUUCUCCAAAUACAAGAGAUUUUGUACUUCAAUUUUUUUUUUUUUAAAAAAAUGGGAAACAUUUGAAACUCUUCAUUUUGUACCAUCACAAUAGCAAGUUAUAUAUAUAUAAAAAAAAGCUUUACUUUUGCACUCCAAACAGGAUUAUAAUCCAGCAUAUCAUAUUUAGAAACAUUGUUAGAUUCAAGAUAAAAAUAUAUAAAAUUUAUCUGAGCUAUAUCAUCGAUUUGGAUUCGACUAUCUAACUUUUAAAAACUUUAAUUUUACUAUUUGACCUUUUAAUUUAUUGUUUAAGUCAAUUAAUGGCUCUUUACUUUCAAAUUUUGAAUAUAUUGUUUAUCUUUCUGAAUUUUUUUAUUAUAUUUUAUGCGAUUUGCAUAACUAUAAAUUCAUUAAAAUAAGUAAAUAGUUUAAAUUUUGUAUCCGAAGAGUCAUCAAAUCACUCAAAUCAAAUAAAUUGAAAGAUUAGAUUAUCUGGGUAUUAAAAUUAAAAAUUUGAAAAGUUUGAUAGUCGAAUCAAAAUAGUCUACAGUUGAAAUUUGUAUGGCCCGAAUAGAGCUUCUCGAAGGGCAUCAAAAGAUACGAGUAAUAUCAAUUUUUAUAGAGUAACAAUACGCUUGCGAACGAAUUUUACAACACUUUACAAACUAGUACGACUUAUUGCCUACACUUACAUUUAUCCUUCUUGUUCUUUUUUUUAGCAUCAUUUAUUGUUUUUAGAAAUAAAUUUAACUGGAAAUGUGAAUCAAUUAGGAUUCGAACUUGGAAUCUCGAGUACCAAGUACCAACCAUCAAGCCCGUUACCACUUGCAUUAAGAACAGUCAGUAAUAUCGUUAGAAUUUUAAAAUGAUUUAUUUCUAUUUACAUAGUAUUAAACCAAAAAAAAAAUCCUUAGAAUUUUGUUUUCCUCCACCAGAUACUAAAGCAACAAAGGAAGAAAAAACAGCGGUGAAAGAAGCGGUGUAAUGAAUGAAAUUCAUCUUACCGAUGAAGGAAGGUAAUAGCCAAAAAAACAUGAAAGAGGAAUAAUUCUGCUCAAUGUAGAGGUGUGAUCUAAUUCAGUUCAAGUAAAAAAAAGAUAAAAAUCCAGUUCGAUUCAAGCAAAAAAAUAGAGAAAAAUAUGUAGAGGACUUAAAGAUGGUUUGGGAGAACCAACACUCAAUAAUGAUUGAUUCGGUUCGAGCAAAGAAAGAAAAAAAAUCUGGUUCGGCUCAACUAAAGAAAAAAAAAAUGUUGAAAACUUGAGCCAGUUCAAGAUGGAACAUACAUCCAACAAUGAAGGGAACAUUGCCAUGUAGCAAAUUUAGAGAGAAUAAUGUAUAGGUAUAGAGGUAUAGAUUACUAGCUUUCACUAUUUUGUAAAAAGUAUACCAAAAACUAGACAUAACAUUACAUUUUAGCUCGUAAAAUAAAUCUUUCCAAGAGAUUACAAAAUAUCGACUAUUCGAUUUAAACAUUAGUUCACACCCCCACACAUUACACAAGUUACUACAAGUUUACAUUCCAUAUUCAACUUAACAUAAUAUAUUUUUGGUGUUUUAGUUUUCAAAAAUAUACAACCCAAAAUGCCUCUAAACAGAGUAUUUCCACCGCUAACUACUCGAGGCCGCACCCGCUCACCCCUACUUUAUCUGAGAAGAGAGUAAACAACGAGUGAGAAAACAUAAAAGUUUUUCACCCAAAUAUGGAGAGUUCCCCAACGGGAGUAAAAUUAUAAUGAAAACAACAAGCUUCUAUAUAUGUAUAGAUAUACCAAUUUGUGGUGGUUAUAUAUGAGUUUCGAGAAUUUGGUUAUACACGUCGUAAUCCAAGAGCAAUGCAUGUAAUUAAAUGAUGUUUUGUUAGCUACUAUCCAAAAACCAUCUACAGACAUAUAGUAAGUAAUGCAUGAAUGCGGAUGCCUCAAUCAUCAAACCAUAGUAUGGGCGGCCACUAUGUGACACCCCAAUAGUCCCACAUAUAAUGGGAACAGGAAUCUGAUUGGUAUAUAAGAGAUUAUGGAUCCUAAUAAUACUAACUAAACUUAAGCAUUUUGGGCCGAUGAUUUGGGCCCAACGAGUUAUUAUCGCUAGUGGUCGGGUCGUCACAUUUGGUGUCAGGGCUGGUUCAUCAGCCUGAAGUGUAAGGUGGGCCUCACAUCGCAUGGUGAACUUGGACUGUGUUUGUGUUUGGACUCACGAAGACGUCAAAACCUAAAUGCAGAGAGUAAACGGAGGGAGUCUGUGACAUCCCAAUAGUCUCACAUCAGAUAAGAACAAAGUUAUAAUUUGUAUAUAAGAGAAUCUGUGACUCUUUAAGCAUUUUAGACUGAUAGCUUUGAUUGGGCUUACGAGGAUGUCAAAACUUAAAGGGAAGGAAUAAACGGAGGGAGUCUGUGACAUCCCAAUAGUCCUACAUUGGUUGGGAACAGAGUUAUGAUUGGUAUAUAAGAUAGUCUAAGACUCUCAAGCAUUUUGGACUAGUAGUUUAGACCCAACGAAUUAUUAUUGCUAGUGGAUUGGAUCGUUAUACACUACCUAAUAAUAACUCAUAUGCCAUAAAUAAACCCAAUCACACUCGAACCUAAAAGUCGCGAGGCCAUACUAAAGCUUCGCAUUAACUGAGUGGCCGCCACCUUGCUUUUCCGGAGAAAGUGCCCUCUACUAGGUUGCAAUCCCCGAUAGAGGCACAUAACGUGAAGUAUCCACAAGUAAGCGCAAGCAAUCAUAAUGCUUAUGCUUCAAGAUCAUAGACAUGAUUGAUUUGACAUGCAUAAUCAAAUAAUAAUAGCUAUCCAAAAGAUUAUGUGAUGAUUAAUUCUCGGUGGUAAAGAUUAUGCACUAAAAAUACAUAAAAGAAAUUGCACUUACUAUUCAUACGAUGUAUGCAAUGAUACGCAUAUAGUCAUGAUGGUUUCUACAGGAUCAAGAUCACAUUAUAGUUAGUAGUAUUGUGGGAACUAAAUCAAGUUUGAAUAGGAUUAACUCACCUCAACAAGGAGCCUCUAAGCCGUCGGCUCGCUAGCACGCAACGCGCCAUGACCUUGGCCUCCUCCGUACAAACCUAAACCAUUUAAGACAUUCCAUACAUUAGGUUUAGAUUACAUAAUUUCAAGUUCACAUAAUAUUUACAUUAGUUGGAUCAUCUUGAUUCAUUCUCGGGUUGGCAACAAGAAACUCAAUUUCAAUUAGAGGUGGAAAGUUGCGAUAUUUCAGAAUUACAAGCCGAAAGUUAUUUCAGAAGGCAAGUAAAAUAGGUCCUCGGAAAAGUUACCAGUAAAUCUAUUUUCCAUAAUUUUCUAGCAGAAGUUUUACAGUGACUGAAAAAACUACUUUAUUUGGUCUUUGAAUCAAUUACUGAAGAUAAAGUACUGCAACUGCACAAGCUAAGGCCAUGUUUGGUUCCACGUAAAAAUAGGCCGAAAAAAAAUUUUCCGCGAAAAACUACUUUGUAGCGUGUUUGGUUGGAGGUAAAAAAUUUUUCCGGAAAAAUUUAUUUUACAUAUGUUGGGAAAAACUUACUUUUCGUUUUCCGCGUGAGAGCCGCGGAAAACGAAAAGGGAGGGCUAAAAUCGCGGCUCAUGGGAGGCAAAACUUUGCACGGUCCACGAGGCCAAAGUGUGGCCUCGUGGACCGUGUGAGAGGGAGGUCCACAGGGGUUCACAGUGGACCUCCCAAUCAUUAUAUAUAUAUACAAUAUACAAUAUUAUUUAUAUACUUCAUACUACAUAUAAUUUUAUAAUAAAAAUAUUAUUAUAUAAUAUUUUAUUUAUAAACUUGUAAUUAUUUAUUAAUAUUCUUAAAUAUAUAAUUAUGUAAUAUGUUUAUUAUAAUUUUAAAUAUAUUUAAUCUAUAAAUAAAAAUUAUAAUAAUAAUAUAAAUAAUAUAAUAAUUAUUAUAUAUUAAUAAUGUAUAUAAUAAAAAAUAUAUUAAAUAGUUUUUAUCUACUUUUCCUUUCAACCAAACAAUCGUCAUGAAAAACUAUUUUUCUUUUCCUACAAACCAAACACAAACGACGUAAAAUUUUUUUCUCACUGAAAACUUUUUUUCCACCGAAAAUUUUUUUUCCACAGUUUUACGUGGAACCAAACACACCCUAAUCGACAAAGUUGACUGUUGUCAAGAGGAGGAUGAUUGAGAUUACUAGAAAUUAAGCAAGAGAAGGUCAUAGGUGGAGGAUUAGUUGUGUAAUACGAGAUUGAGAAAGUUUUGGACAUGCCCUACAUUGACCACAUAACAUAAUACACAACAAAAGAAUUUAAAUUGAUAGAAGAUGCUUCAAAAGGAAGAGAAGGACAAAAAGUGGCAAGAAGAAAUUAGUAAGAAGAAGCACAAUCAUAGGUACUGAAGAAAACAUUUUACGGAGAAGCUGGUCCGAAACUUUGUGAAUCUACAAUACGAAACAAGAACAUUUUACUCGAUGCCUGGCUUACACUUCUCAACUAGAGAAGCUGUUUCAAAGUCCUCACCAAACAAGUGAUAGAUGCGAAUACAUACGCAGAAAUUACAAGCGAUACUUACGAAGGCAUAUGUACAAACUCAAUAAGACAUUAAUUCAUAUACAUUGUAGAUCUUGGAGUUAAAAUGCAAAACUAUUUUAGAAGCACAGCACAGUUAACAAAGAGUAAGCCAAUCAACAGUAUUACAAAACGGAAUAAUUUAUCAACUAUAUUUUCCUUUGACAUAAAGGCUCUAAUGGUAAGACUAGUCCACUAAGUGGUAAUGGAGGCGACAAUGAGGCCGGUUUCUUGAAAUUGAACACAAUUGAGAAACUCAAGACACAUAAAUGCAAGGGAAAUUAUAGAACUGAUACAUGCGGUAGAGAGAGGAUGGUCACAGAAGAUCCCAUUUAGUACUAGUGUCUUUAUCACGAAAUCCUUCACUGGCACACAUAUACUUCUUCUAGGAUUGUUCUAAAGACCAGUUGCAAGGUAAAAAAACCAUGUGAAGUACUUAGUUUUCAGAUGAGAUAGCAGAUAAACCAUACUAUAUCGAAUCCCUAGUCACAGUAAAUCGAAUCCCUAGUCACAGCGCAGUUUAUAUUCCCUAGUUGCACUGGAUUAAUAUUAAUGUAAUAUCCUACCAUUGGUUCUGAGGAUUUACAAUUACAUGAAAGAGUGUUCAGUUAAAGGGAUGGUUUUCGCCGUCCUGAUACAAAAGUUUUUCAAGGUUCAAAUUGAAGAUCUGGUUUUGGAUAAAAUUUGUCACUCUUGGCCGGAAACAACUGCAAGCAUCUUCGAAUCCAUUAUCAGCCCCCUUUCGCUCUCGGUUUUCAACCUAAAUAAAUGGAGUUACGACUCAACUGGACAUAUUCUUAGCUCCAAACUAUCAUUCUUUCUCUAUUGAAUAUCAUUCCAACUUGUCCAAGAGGAAGGAAACCAAUCCAAAACUGCUUGAAUUGUUAAAAUUAGUAAAAUUGAACUCAUAAGUCUCGAUCAAACCCAAACUGUGAAACCGAAACAUCGAAUUUUGCGAAGAACCAGAGAUAACCAUCAGUGCAAUCAUUUUUUUUCUAAACAAAACAAAGUAAUAAUGCAGAUGAAGCAACAACAAACCAAGUGCAAACACUUUUGUCCUAAUUGCGAUCCAUAUCCAAGCAGUUCUUUAAAGAAGGAAAGCACAAACAACUAAUUGUACCAUAUAUCUAUUAACAAAAGAGUAUUCAUUAUAAAACAUAUCAUAAAAGAGGCUACAUUGUUAAAUUGUUCAAAUUGUCUUUAAGCAGAAAAAGCCUACAUAUCCACUACAAUCUCAUAAUCUCUCAUUAGUCAGUAGGAAAAUAUUUAGACGAACUAAUGCAAUAAAAACAUGCGAAAAUAAACAACAUAUGAACUACAUCUACCUGACAAAGAGUAAAUUUGCUUCAGGAUGAAGAGAACAUACUUGGGUAAAACCACUUUGGCGUCCGCGAAAGUGGAGAACCAUCCUUAAUUAGCGUCAAUUCCGGGUCACUCAGAUCGAUCGCGGCGUCGCCCAAUCGAAGCACACUCCAAGGCUGAUUCCCUGAACCAGCAUAGUAGAUGGAAUUGCUCUCUCCUCCCCAUUUCUUUGGAGAAUCACAUGAAAAUCCUAGGGUUCUAUAAUUUUCACCAAUAAAGAGCGCCCGAUCGCCUAAGCUCUCCAUUUUCACCCAUCUCCACGGCUCCAACCGAUCCAACCUGAGGGCUUCGAUCCCCAAAUGCAGCAUCAUUUUCGACGGAACGAACCGAACCAGCAGGAGCUCACUGCCGCACACGAUCAAGUAGCGACAUAGCGAGAAAGGCGCAAUCUUUUGCCCCACCCAGCUCACCUCCAGCUCCGUUACACAGGAAUCGGCAUCGCCCGCCAGGUGUAUGACGAAAAGCCGCUCAGCGUCGUCCAUGGCGAGAACCCGGCCCUCGAAGGGGACGAUGUGGGUGAUGGUCGGGGCGACGCGGAAAGGGGUCCGGAGCCAUUCGGGGGACCCGGGGCGCCAUUGGAACAGGAAGGAGUCGUAUCCGAGAAGGAGGAGGGAGGACUCGGGGGCGGCGAGUGGGGCGGUGAGGAGACCGAAGUGGAGGUUAGUGUUGGGAGGAGGGAGGGGCGGGGUCCGGAGCUCGGCGCCGGUGACGGAGAGGAGGAGGAUGAGGCGGCCAUGGGAGAGGCCGAGGAAGGGGAGGGAGAGGGUUUGGGGGGAGAGCGGGGAGGAGCGGGCGACGGAGUGUGGUGAGGAGGGGUCGAGGAGGUUGAAGGUAGGGUUAGGGUUACGGUGGCGGCGGAGGAGAGGGGUGAGGUGGGAGGGGCGGAGGAGGAGAGGGGGGAGGUGGCGGAGUGGGGCGGCGGUGGUGGCGAGGACGCGCCAUGAGCGGCACACGGAGGAGAAGGAGAGGAGGUCGCGGUGGGAGAGGAGGAGGCCGAGGAUGGAGACGAGGAGUGCGUCGGGGAGCUCCGCCCAUGCAUGGCGGACUCCGACGGCAGCGUCGCCUGCGCUGGCGCCGGCGCCGGAGGAGGUGGUGGUGGCGGAGGAGCGGGGCUUCUUCUUGGCGCCGCUUUGCAUACUGGAAAGAUAGUAAUAUGAAAAAUAUGAAGGGCUUUAGUGAAAAAUGGACGGAGAACGGGAGAAAGUUUGCUUAUACAAAGGUAAGUUCUUGGGUCUGUUUAGUUAAACGAAAAAAAAAAAAAAAAAUCGUGAAAAAUAAUUUUUCGUAAAAAUAAAACUCUUCCUGGAAAAAAAAAUUAUAAUAUUUAAUUUGUAGAAAUUUUUUUAUAUUAAUAUUUAUUUAGUCCUGAAAAAUAAAUUUAUAUUGAACAGGAUAAAAAAUUCACAAGUUUUGAGCUUUUGCAAAACUGAGCUGUCAAUGUUAAUUUUGCAUUUUUCAUUUUUUUUUCUCGCAUUCUUUUUUUUUUUUCUCGCUAAAGAAGACGGUAGAGACGGAGAUAGAAACGGCCCCCCUCGUCUCUGCCGCUCACACUCUCGCACUCGCCCGCGCACUCUCCACCCUCCUCGCCUCCGACCCCGCGCGCACUCUCCACCCUCCUCGCUUCCGACCCCGCGAAGAUCGUGCCACGACCCCCUCCCCCUUUUUUUUUCCACUCCGACCCUUCUCCACUAAUCGUCCUCAUAAGAGUAUUAGUAUCUAAAAUACUCUUAUACUUUAUUUAACUAAAUUUUUUUAGGAUUAAUUUCAUCCGUACCCCUCUAAAAUUUCAAAAUAUCAUAAAUACCCCUACAAAUUUUGUUAUAUCAUAUUUACCCCUCCAAAUGCAUACUUUCUUUCAAAAAUGACCUUCCUGUUAUACUCCGUUUAUUCAAGUUAUUUUGACCCUGGUUAGAUGAUGGUUUACCAAAGGUUAAAAUUUGAAAUACCUAUUUUGCCCAUGAGUUAGGAGCUUUUGGAGGGUAUGCCUUAAUAAAGAUUGUUGAUGUAUUAAUUAGAUACAAAUAUAGGCCCGCGCUUCGCGGCGGAAAAUUUAUGUAAUUUAUUUGAAAUUUAAAAUUUCUAACUCCCUUUUUUUUUUAAUCCUGAAAUUUGAAAUUCAAAAUUUAGAAAUUUAAAUUUUAAAAAAUAUAUUUUAUCUUAAUUCAGUUUUUACAUUUUGAAUAUAUGAUUUUAUAUAGAAUUUUGUUGAAUCCUAAUUUUUCUAAAUUCUAAGCUUUUAUAUGCAUUAAAUAACUCUGUAAUUUUGAAUUUUUAUUAUGAAUUUCCAAUUCAAAAUUAAGGUAGAAAUUCAGAGUUCAGCUAGGUAAUACGGAAUUCAAUUAGGUAAUUCGAAAUUUCAUGAUAUUUUGAACAUUAUUGAUUUGGCACUAAAGCCAACUCAGUUUGUAGCGGUAAUUGCAUAAGAACCCACACGCAUACCGAAAGUAAGGGGUAGGUCGUCAUUUUUAAUUUGAACCUUUUUGUAUGUAUCAAAUAUCUUGAGGUAGUUAAGCUGCAUUGUUGUGUAUGAUGGGGAAAAGAUAUUAUUAACAUUAGGGUCUCUCCUACAGAAGAAUUUUGAAAAUUUAGAAUUCAUGUUAAGAAUUUAGAAUUUAGAAUCUUGAAUUCAGAAUGCGAAUUAAUUUAAAAGGUUGGUUAUGGCAAUAGUAUUAAAAUAACAAAAUAAUAGUAAAAAAAAGGCUCAUCUAAAAUAUCAAAAUUCAAGGUAUUUAUCGGCAAAGAGUUUGUGUAUAAUGAGAAAAACAUGUUAUUAAUAUUAGGGCCUUUACCACAGAACAAUUUGAGAUUAUCAGCAAGAAUGACUUGUUAAGGUAGACAUGUAGCUAUUAUACUAAGCUUGAAUUUCUAAAGAUGCAAACUUGGAAUUUGAAAAAAUCAAUAAGAAAAGUUUUCGAAUGUACAAAAGAUUUCUCUUUGAUCCAACUAAAACCUUAAAUUAAACUAUGUACUAAUUUUAGGAGGGCAUUUUUGAAAGAAUGACCGCUGAGUCAAACUAAGUUCGAAGUGAAAUUUUUAAAUUUGAAGGGCUUUUUUGAAAUUUAUAAUAAGUCAGUGACCUUUGAAAAUUUUAUAAGGCCAAUUGUGAUAAGGGUAAAAUUGGUAUAUAGGUCUAUUAGUUAACAUUUUAACAGAAAAUUAUUUUAAAGGCUAGUUUUGAAAGGUUUUCAUAUAUAGAGGGGUAUUUACGAUAUUUCAAUUUUUAGAGGGAUACUUAUGUAAAUAUCAGCUUUUGAAGGGGUACUCAGGAAAUUAUCCCAUUUUUUUAAUGUGAAACAUUUGUCAAAGUUCAAAGAAUAAAUUUGGUUAAAUGAAAAUCACAGGGACGAAAUAACAAUAAAACGAUAGUGAAGGGACCGCCCAUAAAUUUUACUCAAUUCUAUAUGUUAAUUAACAAUACAUAACGGUGUGCACGUGCGUGUCACGUGCUCGCGAGCAACGAAUCAAGGGCUUUUUUUGCAAAUACUCCCAUGACAAAUUUUAUUUGCAAAAACAGCCCCGUCCAAAAAUUAUUUGUAAAAAUCGCCCUGCCCCCGCCACGCCAGCGCCACGUCAGCGUCACGCGGGCAGGGCGGGCCCAGAUGUUUAAGUUGAACACGGUGAACCAUUCACCGUGUUCAAUACAAGAUUUUUGUAUUGGACACGGUGAAUGAUUCACCGUGUCCAAUACAAAUACCCUAACAAUGGCUAAGUUGGAGAUAUUUGUAUUAAUUCACCGUGUCCAAUACAAAUACCCUAAUAAUGGCUAAGUUGGAGAUAUUUGUAUUAGAUACGGUGAACCAUUCACCGUGUCCAAUUAUUUGUAUUGGACACGGUGAAUGAUUCACCGUGUCCAAUACAAAUAUUUCGAUCUUAGCUAUUUUGUAAUUUACCGUGUCCAAUACAAAAACUUUGUAUUGAACACGGUGAAUGGUUCACCGUGUUCAACUUAACUAUCUGUUCCAGCCCCGCCCGGGUGGCGCUGAUGUGGCGCUUGCGUCGCGGGGCCAGGGCCAUUUUUGUAAAUAAAUUUUUGACAUGGCCAAUUUAAAAAAAAAAAAUUUUAAGGGGGCUAUUUGCAAAAAAAAGCCCACGAAUCAAAUAUAGGGUCCCUUAAAUUUCGUGCUCUCCUCAACUCUAAUUUUUAAUUAAUUAGUUACUUAUAAUUAAUUAACUUUAGAUUUUAAUAAUUAGUAAUAAUUAAUUAAAACUAAUUUCUUUCGAUUUUUUUAUUUUCCAUAUCUCAUUUGAUUCGUUGAACACCUCGCCCUUUUUCUCGUUUCUCCGAUCCCUCUCCCCAAUCUCCUUCUCAAUCCGAUUUUUUUUAAAAAAUCUUUUUGUCACGAUUUUGUUGCGCACAAAUCCCUACAAAUCCUAGGGUUUCGAGAUCAUUCCCAAUUUUCCCAUUUUUCUCGAAUUUAUCUUUAUUUUUUGGCGAUUAAUGCCUAAAAUUUUAGCAAAAUUUGGUUUCUUUGCAAAAAAUUCGAUCUGAAUCGGUGGAUUGAUCCGUGGAAGGUGCGAUUUAGGUGGUCGGACGCGUCGGAAUUAGGGUUAGGGUUGGGUUUCCGAUGUUUGGAUAGGGAUGGGAGUGGAUUACUACAACAUCUUGAAGGUGAAUCGCAACGCCACCGAUGAGGCUCUCAAGAAGUCGUAUCGGAGAUUGGCGAUGCAAUGGCACCCGGAUAAGAACCCUAGCGACAAGAGCACGGCCGAGGCCAAGUUUAAGCAGAUCACUGAGGCCUACGAGGUGAGGCUUUUUUGGAUUCUACUCUAUUUUUUUGCUUAUUAAUGCAUGAAAAUUUCGAAUUAAUUUGUGUUUGAUACCCUUUUAUUUGCAAAAAUUAGGCGAAUUUAGUUCUUACAGUGUUGUUAUAUGAUUGGAAUUUGAAGGGAUUAGAGCAAAAUGUAGAAUCAUUAGUUCUUAAAUUAGGCUCCUCCUCCUUUUUUGAUGAAUUGGAAUAAAGAAUAAAUGAUCAGAACCCUGGAUAUAACCUCUUUUGCUACCCGAAAUUAUAGAUUCAUAGUUUGUAAAGUUUAUGAGCAUUUCGUAUGCUUCUUUAAACAGACUUUGGCGGUCUCAGGCGCAAUCUAGGUGCGAGAGGAAUAAGCGAUUUAUUUAUUUAUUAUAUAAUUCAAUUUUCUUUCUCGUUUUUAGUUUUAAUGCUUUGGGACUUAAUUAUUUUUUUGGAAUGUUAGUAUAUAAUUAGUUCCGUCAUGUAACGGAUAGGUAGGUAGGAUAUAUCCAUACUAUGGUGAGCCCACAUUAUCUAAGCUAUGGUGAGUUGGGCUCACACAAUCUUAUAUUUAUUCUAUUGCACCUCUCUGUUUGUGUUGUAUCGCAUUUAGUUUGGUGGUUAAAGUGAAGAUAAAAAUAAAUUUGAAUUAUAACUCGGUUUACUCAUCUACUCAUCUUCUUUUGUCGAUUUCGUUCCUGGACAUUUUUGGAUUUCGUAGUUCGGGGGAGUUGGCCGAACAUUUUGAAACUUAGUUGUCCAUUCAACUCUAAAGAAUUUCUUAGAAGGAUAGGUUAUGUAAUAUCAUCACCCUAUUGUUCAGGUAUUAAGUGAUCCUCAAAAGAGGGCAAUAUAUGACCAGUAUGGAGAAGAGGGCUUGAAGGGAAUGCCCCCUCCCGAUUCGACUGGAUCAAGUAAUCACGGAUUUAACCCUCGUAAUGCGGAGGACGUCUUUGCAGAGUUCUUCGCGAGCACCAGCAAACCCUACGGGUUUGAGAACAUGGGGCGCGCAAAGUCUAUGAGGUUCCAAACGGAAGGGGCCGGGACGUUUGGCGGGUUUGGUGGGUCCGAGAGCAGAUACCACUCUUCUGCCGAAGGUGGAAGUGGUGCCAGCGGUGUAGGCGGUACGAGCCAGUCUCGAAAACCACCGCCAGUGGAAACCAAGUUGCCGUGUAGCCUUGAGGAGCUUUAUACUGGAUCUACAAGGAAGAUGAAGAUCUCUAGAAAUGUUUUGAGACCUAAUGGGUAUGUGCAGUUUUAUGAUAUUUCUACCUUGUUCGCUAACGUUUUUUCAUGUGGCUCAGUAUCAUUUUCCUAGCAAGUAAAAAAUAAAUGGUUUAUUUGUACGUUUUGAUAUAUCUAUGUUGUCUAGCAUACUUUUGCUAGUUUAGGUGGAUAUGGAAAAUAGAGGAUUUUUAUGUUUAUUCGUUCUGUUUGCUCUCUCUGUUUUUCUUUUUCUACCUAGCAUUUAGAGAUAUGUAAGGUGGAGUUCUCUUCCACUGAUUCUUGAAGUAUUCCCUUUGUAUAUAUUGUUAAUUUGAUUUAUGUCUUAUGUUUUCAUCAUCAGCAGAAACGUAAGAUGCCUUUCUUUCUCUAGUUUGGGUGGAAAUCACCAGGGAAGACUUAGGAAACUUGCAUUUAGCUUUUAAUAUUUAUGCUCGACAAUCUGAUUUCAGUGAGCUGAACCAUUGAAUAGUAAGACUACGACAAGGCUGAUUGACCUACGGGCUAUCCGUAGUACAAGUGGUAAAGGGCUUGAUGGUUGGCACGCGAGGUCCCAAGUUCGAACCCUAUUUGUUUCACAUUUUCAGCUAAAUUUAUUUCAAAAAAAAAUGAGCGAAGUGGUAGCAUUCUACUAUUCUUUCUCCCAAAAAAAAAAGAAAAGAAAAAAAAGAGACAAGGUUAAUGAUCUAGGUUACAUUCUUCCCCUUACAAACCUAUAUAUCUUUUUUUUUCUUGAUUUGAAACGAGAUCAAUACGCCAGUUUUUAAUUCUGAUUAAUUGUUUAUAUUUACCUGUAUCUAUCAUUAGCUUCUUUCCAACUUUACAUAUUUAUCUCGGAUUCUGUUGUGAGGGAGUUUGGAGUUGGAGUUCUAGCUUUCUCGAAGUCGAAACAAAUUUGACACGUAAAAGCCAAUCAUAUAGUAUACACUGGUUUGAUUUGCACAUGUCAAUUAUGUUAAGAAGUCUGCCAUGCUUCUAUUUUGCAACCUUCUUCUUAUGUUGCUUCUUUUGCUGCUAGGAUCUUAACUUGUUUUAAUGCAUUUUAAGCAACUUGUUGCUUUCGUGGCAUACUGAUUCGCACAAGUAUUACGAUUAAUAUUUUUUUAUUUUCUUUUUACCCGAAACUGAAAUACAGGUUUAGUUUUAGCUGUUGAUUUCUCACUUCGUAUCCCUCUUCUCUCUCAUAAUGCGCACCUUAGGCGAUUGGCAUCGGAAUCGGAGAUCUUGACGAUCGACGUGAAGCCCGGGUGGAAGAAGGGCACGAAGAUAACCUUCCCAGAUAAGGGCAACGAGGCGGUGGGCCAGCUCCCGGCUGAUCUCGUCUUUGUCAUCGACGAGAAACCCCACGAUGUGUACACCAGGGAAGGCAACAACCUCUUGGUCCACCAAAAGAUCCCCCUCGUGGACGCGCUCGCGGGGACCACCGUCAACCUCAAGACCCUCGACGGCCGUGAUCUAGUGAUCAAGGUGACCGACGUGAUAAGUCCCGGCUACGAGCUCGUGGUCGCGAACGAAGGGAUGCCGAUCGUGAAGGAGAAAGGGAAGAUGGGUAAUUUGAGGAUUAAGUUCGACGUGACCUUCCCAUCGAGGUUGACUUCGGAGCAGAGGGCGACCAUACGACGCGCGCUGGGAGGUUAAUUAAAACCUAUGAAUAAUAAUGAUCGUGUAAUUGAAUGCACAAAAGAUAGGACUUAGGCCUUGUUUGGUCACACUGACGAUCUUUCGGUUCUUUUAAAACUCAAGUUCUAUGCAAUUUAAUGCACCGGCGAGUAGAUCUCACUGUUGUUGUUCUUAUUAGUUAGCUUGCAACUCGCCUUUUCGCUCAAAAAGCGAAGAAACUAUAGGACGUUACACCGUCGCCCGAAACGUUCAAUUGCAUGGAACUCGAGUUCAGAAAAGGUUAAAAUAGCAGUAGUGUAACCAAACGAGGCCUUAGUAUGGUUUUUCUUCUGAUUAUCAUCACUAAUCCUUUUCCAUUCCAUGAAUUGUUAGCUCUUCUUCUUACACUGAUACUGUUCCUCCUUUUGUUCUGAACUAUGAUGUGAAUAACAUGAUUUAAGCGACAGAGGUAGAAGAUCGCCCAUUUUUGUGAUCAUCAUCCUGCAUGUUCUGUGUGCUUGUUUUACGAUUACUUUUUCUUCUGUAAAUCAAUUUGUCAGAAUUCUGGCAGGUUUUGGAAUUUGGAUCUGUAUGUUUGUCUGCAAAAAAAAGGGUUUUGCUGCCAAACUAAUGUGCCAGAAAGAUUCAUAUGAAAUGAUCCUACAUGCUCUGAAGCAAAUCAAACCAAACUAACAAAGUUUGAUUUUUCUGGUCUCAAAUUCAGACCGAAACCGAACAACAUCAGAGGCUGAAUUUGAAUUUGAAUUUGAUUUCUUAUAUAUUUUGGUUUGUUUUGGUUUAGUUCGACGAUUAGUUUUGACCCGUAUUUUAUCGGUUGUGUAGCUUAAAUUCCUUGUGAUGGGUCUAAGUCUUGUGUUUUAGCACUAAAACCAUUCUUAAGAGUGCUCCUGUUCUGAGAAAGCCAUUGCCUGGUAGUAGUUGUUGCGUUAUGCUGAGAAAAAGCUGUUCUCUUUUUCUCUUUUUCUUUUUUUAUUUUAGAAUUCUUAUACCAAUGUAUAUCUGGUGAGCAUGAAUUUUCUGAGCACGUUAAUAAAACACGAAUACUCGCGAUCAGAUCUUAUUUAAAUUCGGUCUUAUAUAAAUCAAUCAUUGAACCUCGUUAUCGUGCAAUGAAUGAAGGUUGGGAUGUCAACGGGUCGGGUUGGGUCGGAUUUAUAAAAAUUCAAACCCAAAAAUCAAAUUAAAAUCCGAAUUCGGAUCUGAAUCUGGCAUGUUUUAAAAAAUUCAUACUCAUAUUCGUACCCAACCAAAAUUCCGAAAUCCGAACCCGGAUCCAAAUUCUCCCUGUCUUAAAAGUACAUACGGUUGGAUGAAAAUCUAAGAAAUAAAAAUUAUUAAAUAUUUUAUAUAUUAUAUAAAUAAAUAAAUAAAAAUAAAUUAUGUAUAUAUAUAAUUUAUUCGGGUUCAGAUCGGGUCGUGUAAAUACAAAAUCCAUAUCCGUAUUCAUAUCCGUCGGGUUUUUAUUUUCUAUACCCAUAACCAAAUUUAUACUCGUUUAGUUCGGAUAACCCGUUCUGUUCGGAUUCGGGUUCGGAUAAUAUUUCGGGUAUUCAUACUCAUUGACAUUUCUAAAUAAGAGAUAAUUAUAUUCAUUAAAUAUAAGAUCGGAGGUUCGAACCUAAGUGUGAACUUAAACAUCCACGUGUCUGCUUCAGAGAAUCCUACCGACAUAAUUAUAAAAUAAAAUAAAAAUAAAAUAAAACAAAAUCUGAGUCACGUGCCCAAGUUGCAAUUGUGACGUUAAAUCCGGACACGUGUGAUCACCUGAGUCGUGCGUUAUGUGGCUACGUAACAAAAAGUUACAUAACCUGUUUGUUUGUUUGUUUAUUUGUUUUAAUUUGGGUGUGUUACAACUCUAGAACUUAAACCAUGUGUCAUUUUUGCAUAGAACCCCUUAAUGCACUACAUACACAAACAAAUUAUUAAUUAAUUAAUGUGAACAAAUAAUUAAUGGGUGUAUCAAUGAUUCAAUUCUUUUUCUUUUUUUUUUUUACUUCAAAAGUUACAAAGGUGAGAAUUUUACGUGUCGUUUUGUUGUUGAGCGGUUAUGGCAAUUAGAUCGGAUUAUAAUAUUAUGGGAAAACAUCAAAACCCCCCUAUAUUUUCGCAUUUUUUCACUUUAUUACUUUAUGAUUUAAAGUGUAUCAAAUUAGUAUACUGUGGUUUCGCACUUUCUCACUCUAGUACCAUGUGGUUUAAAGUGUAUCAAUUUACUACCAAUAUGGUUAAUUUUUCUCUUUUCAUCGACUUCUCCGUUAACACUUUAUUAAAUUAUAUAUAAAAAAAUUCAAAUAUCUCACUUAAGUUUAUCGAAUAUUUACUUUAAUAUUUUUUAAUUUUAACUUUGUCACUAAUUUAACUAAAAAAAUUAGUGAACGAGAUAAUAAAAAAAAAAGAAACCACGGGGUACUAAAUUGAUACACUUUAAAUCAUAAGAUAUUAAAAUAAAAAAGUGUGAAAGCAUAGAAAUGGUAUUUGAAGUUUUUUCUAUAAUUAAUUAGCAUACAAUGCGGAGUAGAAAAAUUUACUAAGAGAUAAAUAAAAUUAGAUUUAUUAAUAAUUAAAUGACUAAUAUAUAUUUAUUAAAUUUGAUAAAAUUUUUAACUAAACUAAGUAUAGAAAAUAAUCGCGUGAAUGACGUAUAAUAUCUUAAACAAAUUCAAUAAAAUAUAAUACUUUUUUAUCUACUUAUUUUUUUUUUAAAAAAAAUAAUCUCUAAAUUUAGAAAUUAUCCAACACAACAAGAGAGUGGUCCAAUCAAUAAUCAUAAAUUUGACAUAAUGGAUGAUACAAUUAUGAGGUGGUCCAGGCUAAUAUUUAUAUUGCAAAAAUUAGUUUUGAUUUAUUUAAAUUUAAUUUAAAUUUUUUAAUUAAAUUAAAAUUUUUAUUCGAAUUAAUAACUAUAAAAGGUUAAUUCCCCCUAACAGUUAACAAAACUUAUAGUCCUAUAAUUUUUUUAAAAAACAUAAAUAAAUUAUUAACAUAAAUAAACAACGGAAAAACUUCAAAAACCCCCCCUAUGGUUUCGUAGUUUUUCACUUUGCCCCUCUGUGGUUUAAAAUGUAUAAAUUUACCCUCCUGUGGUUUCGUUUUUAUCUUUCCGGUAGUUUUUUCGUUAAUAUUUCAUUAAAUUAUAUACAAAAAACUUCAGAUACACAUAUAGAUUUAUCAAAUAUUCACUUUAGUACCCUUUAAUUUUAACUUUAUCACUGAUUUAAGAAAAAAAAAAAUAAAAAUGAUAAGAAAAAGAGAAAAAAGAAACCACAGGGGAGCUAAUUGAUACAUUUUAAACCACAGGGAGACAAAGUGAGAAUCUACGAAACCACAGGGGGGUUUUUUGAAGUUUUUCCAUAAACUUGAAU
rnacentral:lncRNA from 1 species